rnacentral:lncRNA from 1 species
CGCCAUGAGGUGGCCGAGUGGGACCACGGCAAUCUGUGCGGAGAUGGAUGUGAUGGACAGAGGUUCCCUGCGGUACCAGAAGAACUGGUUGAGGAAGGAGAGGAGUGCGCAGGCUAGGGUUCCUAGAGUCCACAUGCGGAAGGUGACUACUGGGAGGGUUCGGUCGUCGGUGAUCGGAACGGUUAGAGCUACUUGCUCGAUGGGAGAGUUCUCGGCGCCGGAGAGUUCGUCCGAGGCAUGAGAUCGGUGGCUUUGAUUCCGGGGAACUGCACAUAGGUAAUUCAGUUUGACUUUACAACAGAGAAACGGCGGAAAAGAGGUGGAAGCGGAAGAUGGUAGUGUAAGAUUUCAUUUCCAUUUUCAAAUUUCAAAUAGAGCAUGUUAAAGUGAAAAAAUUAUCGAAAUCAAGUACAAAGUCUUACGAAGAGGAGCUGUGAUUUCAUGAGCAGAUUUCAUCUCUCCAAGCUCCAACUAUGAACUCCCUCCGGCCACACGCGACUGUCGUCACUGUUGUAAGUCUUCGAUCCAUAUGAAUAUAUCGUAUUGUUUUUAAUUUCAUGUGGUCAAACUUUUUUUCUUUUUUAAUUUUUAAUUCCAUGCGGUCAAAUUUUCAUUUAGAGUGGGACCCUGUUCUCCUCCUCCCUGCUCUCACUCUCCCUCCCUGCAUUCCUUCCCCCCCCCCCCCUAGUCCCCACAACGAGGCUACAUACAUUCAUUCACACAGCUAUCACAGCUGUCUAGUAAUUAAAAGUCAAAAGGAAUUUCCAUUUCUAUUGCAAAGGCGUUCACGCAUGUGAGUGGAUUCCCAAUGUUCCCAAAAAAAUAAAACCCAAUUUUGUCAUAUAAACUUUACAUUCAAUUUUGAAGACACAAGAUGCAGAAGCAUCAAUAAGAUGGACCCAAAACUCUUCAAAUGAGGCAUGCCUGGCUUGUUCCGCGCUUGCAGGAUGUUGUCGUAUCUAUCAUGGCAUACUGAGGCAGCACCACCUAAUAACGACAUGCAGUAUGUGGAUAAUAAAUUCGUGUCCAGCAACAUGUGCAAGAACCAACCUUCGCUAACUGGCCAAUUUUGUGAACUUGGCGACAAAAAGCCCACUGGUUUGAGAGGUCAAGGGAUCAAACCGUAACGUCUUUGGUAUCCCACCACUUUUGCAAGGCCAGUUUGUGGCAGCAUCUAUCUCCUGCAACUCUGCAAGGCCACGAGGAGAAACGGUUAUUUUUCUUCUUCAAAAUGAAGAAAUGAUUAUUCAGGCUAUUUCAAUUGGAUGACAGUAAAAUAGAAGAGCAUAUGAAGUACAGACAUAAGCGCCACAUAGAAGUGAUCAAAACAACAUCAGAAUCCUACCAACUCCAUAGAGUUCAUCUUCCUGCAUAAAUCUGGCUUUCAUUUGCAAAAACUACUUCGCCAUUCAUAGAGUAACCUAAGGCCAUGUUUGGACAUCUUAAUGAUAAUGAGAAUGGAAUUAAAAUGAUUACAACAGAAAUAAAAUCUCACUUAUAGGUAGGAUUACAAUUGAUCUUCAACAAGUGCAGGAAAUGAUAUUUUUUCUAUGUACAAGAUAAGAAAAUACUAUAAAGUGAAAUGAUAAAAAAGUGCCCCAAAAAACACUUUAAGUAUAUAAAAGAUGCCUAAAUGUGUCACCAAAACACAAAGAGGGACCACAAAUAAGGGCACCCCUCAAUCAGAGCCCAACUGGUCUACAAAAUCUAUAAUAAGACCUACAACUCUAAACAAAUUAUCAGUCCCAAAAAUUACAAAGAAAAGAAAAUUUAAGCCUUGCUCCUCAUUUUCAAACACCCUAUAGUUUCUUUACUUCCAAACUAUCCAAAAAAGACAUAAGAGAGCAAUUUGCCAUACCUUUUUCCUCUUUUAAUCUUUGAAAGAGUUGUGCAAUAUGUUUUUUUCUUUUAAAUGAUAUAAAACAUCUUAAAAAUACUAUUUUACCCUUUCAUUUCUAUUAAGUUUAUAUGACUUUUAAUAAAUUUAAUUUUUAUUUAUCCAGUAAAUAUUAUUUUUUUAGUCUUAUUAUUUAACAAAAAAAAAAGUACUUUCAAAAGGUGUUCUUUUAAAAUGAAAAUAAAAACUUAUUUUAAAUUAUGUGUAAGGGUAUUAUUGUCAUUUUUUAAUUCUCAUUUCCAUUGUUACCAAAUAUUGAAAUGAAAAUAAAUAACCAUUCCAACCUUACAUUCUUAAAUGCAUCAUUGGAAUCACCAAAUUCAUUCCUAUUAAAAAAGAAACGGGAAUGAAAACAAAAUAUUCAUUCACAUUCCCUAUUCCUACAUACCAAAUAUAGCAUUAAGAUUUUGUGAAAAGGAACAGCACAUUUGCUCAUCAAAAUUACAUCACCAAAAGAAAUUUAAGACCACAAUUUUCCUAUAUGCUAGAGUUAGAAGCACCAAGAACCUUACCAGCAGAAGCAUUUUCCCGAAGAAAUUGUUCUACCACAUCUUCAUUCUGAGCAGCUGUCAAACUAUUUCACAAAAACAUAAAAGUAAACAAAAUAAAUAAAUAAGAUAAGCCAUCUAAUAACCCAGAAGAAAAAGCGGUAAAAGCCAAUUAUUUUAAGAGCCAUGCUCAAUGCAUAGAAAAUGCACCUGCACGUGCUGUAGACAAGUGAUCCCCCAACUUUUAGUAAUCUAAAACCAUUACUUAGAAGCCGGAACUGCAACCAAAACACAAACAUGUUUUAACACAAUGCAAAAGCAAACGGCAUAGAUAUAUAAUCAUCCCACUAUGGAGCAGAAUUCUCUGCAUCUGGAUGCAGAUAUGAAAAUUAAGAUAGCAUUGGACCAAAAUUUUCUUUCAGCCACUGGAUGCUGAUUCCAGAAAAUGCAAUCAUAAAACAUAACUAACAAAGCAAGCAAAGUGCUUGAAUGAAGGAUUUCAUCCUAAAAUCCUCAUAAAAUCCCACCAAUAUCACCAUCACACUACCACCACAAAUCAUGGCACCCUACCAGCCCUGCCCACAUGAUUAUUUCCAUAAUCACUACCCCAGUACUAUCACCACUGCAGCCAACCACCCCACAAAAACCCUACCACUACCAUUGCCACCACCACUGCCCUUAUCUGCGCAGUUAAUGCCAUCACCACCACCACCACCAUUUCACAAAUCCACGAGAAGUAUAGAGACCAAAAGAACAAAGUUAAGGGCUUAUUUGGGAACUUUUUCGAAAACAGUUCUCAAAAUUUUCAAAAACAUUUUUCUGAUGAUCUCCAGAACAAGAACCUGUUUGGGCCUAUUUGGAAUGUUGUCAACUUGUUUUCUGUGUUUUUAAACAUUCUUAUAUAUAACUUUUAUCUGUAGUGCUUUAUUUUCAAUUAUUUUUUAUAUCUGUACAACUAUUUUUUAAAACAACCCCUAGUAAACAAGUGAAAACAAUAAAAAUAUGUUAUUAGAAAACACCCUAUUUUCAUAACAAUUCUCAAAAGCCUAUUUUCGGAACAAUGACAACCAAAUUUGUUUUCAUAUUUUUUUGUUCUUAUUAAAAAAAAAAAAAAAAAAAAAAAAAAAAAAAAAAGAAGCCAGUUAUUAAGAACAAUUCUCAAAUAUAGCCUAAUAUUCUAGAAAUUUGAACUUUUAAUUCCUAGGUGUAAAUCCCUUCACCCUCAAAUGUCUAAGUGAAAAGAAGGAAUCAAUUACCUGAAGAACGGUUAAGCUAUCAGUCCUCUCUGCAUCUAAUACACGGCGCUCAAGUGUUUCCCAUCCCCAAUGGUCAAAUUUUUGGAUAUGUCUAAUUGACCCAUCAUGAGUGCAUUCUGCAUCAACAAGGACCUGAAUUAAGUUUCAAUAGGUCAUUAGCCUUUAAACAAAAAUGAAGAAAUAUAAAAACCAGCAGAACUCAUAUGACCUAGAAAAAAGGAACGAAAUCAAUUGGUAAGGUCUUUUAUUUGGUUUCAGCCAAUUACACAGGAGCAUAACUGCUUUUUCUUAAAUAUAAAACUAAAAUGCAAUCUACCUUGUCAUAGCCACACUUCAACACCUCACUGUCACAUGCAAUUUUAUAUAGUUCAGUUCUACUAAGACCAAUCACUCCAGAAUGCCACCCAUAAAAUAUGAGUUCUGGAUCUUGAAUCCCUGGGACUAACUGUGAACCAAUGCCUUCCCUAGCUUUCUUUGCAUUUUUCCUUUCUUUCCAUGGUCUUUUAGAAGUCCACUCCUUAAAUACAUCCACCUUUCCUUUAGAUGCAAAUUCACCUGUUUAGCACUAGACAGAAUGAUAACACAUUACAGACAGGAAAACUACUACAAAUAAAUUUCCAAAAAUGAGAACUUAGCAGUAUAACUGUUGAAGUUUAAGAGUGAUUGUAUUACAACUUCUUCCAGACUUACCACCUGAUUUUGAAUCUGAAUGUUCCAUCACAGGAAUGAGGGAAAAUGUUGUUCCAUCAGCAACAAAGAGGCGACACCUAUCUCCCAGUGCAUAUUUCUGAAUCAUUGUUCUACAAGCAGCUAAACGAUGUCUUGCAACAUCGACACCAGUUACAGAACCCGAAUUACCAAUAAGGUCUAACGUCAUACAAAGUUUAGCACCUGAGGGUAAAAAUAAUGACAAAUAAAUUGAGUUGAGUGUGUUUGUUAGAAAUAUCAAAAACACCAAAAAUCCGUAUCCGAAGCUCCCCAGAGACUAUGUCACAGAAAAUUAAAAAAACUAAUAGUCUAGCCAUGACCAAGCUCCCACAACGUUGCAAGAGAAGCUGACAUAUCCCAUAAAAUUCAAUUUUAUGUGGAGAGGACCUGGAUUAAACCUGUCCCAUAACAAAAAAUCCCACCAUAACCAUGUAGUCACAUGGAUAAAACUGCUGCGCUGAAAAGCAAUGGUGUCCAAAUAAGUACAGUCCAGCAGUCUUCCUACAAUGCUCUGCAUCUAAACUGUGUUUCAAGUUUCCGUGAACAGAAUAGAAUUUGACUCCACAAUUCCACUUGGACUGACAAUAAGGUUUUGAUUAAAUCUACAAAAUCAAUGUAUGAUAACAAGUUACCAGGAGCAGCACACAGAUCAAGAACAUGAUCUCCCUCAGAGACAUUUAAAGCUGAAACAGCCGCCCCAGAAGCUGCAUCAAUUCCAUAUAUCUGAAUAACCAGAUCAAGGCAAUAAAUAUGUAAGCAAUUGCAAUAGAAAAGCAAAAAAAAAAUCAAUGAAAAGGAACAAUUCAACUAAGUGAGAUAAACUGGUUUCCACCUUCCCUUCCUUGUAAGCCAUGGAGUUUGCAAUGUGAAUCUGGGGUGGAAGAGAGUAGAAAUUCGGUAACCAACCCACUUUCUCAAGCUUCGACUUGAAUUCAGCUUCUAGCUGUUGGAUUUGUGCUUCACUAAUGCUACCGGGUUUCAACCUAUAUCCCCAAUUCAUAUACAUUACAACAGAACCGAACUCUUUAUCAAUGGCCCAUGCUAUGAAACAAUUGUCGGACUAGAGUACCUUAUAUAUCGAGGCGUUGAAUCGGCUGUUGUAUAUAUCGAAGGAUCCACACCAUUCUCCUUCAGAAAAUCCAGAAACGCCUCUGGCAACCCAAUUGCUGAGGCUUCUUCCAUCCUCAACGGCACCCAAAAAAACCCUAGAAAGAUGCGGUCUUAUGCUUCAAAUUGCAUUCGUAUUUAAAAUGGCAGCUUAUUAUAUUCCCAUUCAAAACGUACCGUUUUGAUUUUGGUUUCCGUAUAAAACGACGUCGUCUUCCAAUUCCCAGUUCUUCUCACGGUCAUAGCCUCCACGCUUUCCUGCCCUAGCGUCCUUAUUGCAUUAUCUCAUAGAAAAUUAAUUUAUAUAAAAAUAAAUAAAAUGAUAAAUAUUUUUUAAAUAAAUAAAUAAAUAUGUUAUAUUGACUUUUUUUAACCUAACUUUUUUUUUUAUCUAAUUUAUUUAUAGUAAAUAAAACUUACAAGAGUAUAUUCUUUAUUUCCAUAUUAUUGAAUUACUAAUAAAGUUAUGAAAUAAAUAGAUAUAUAUAUUUUAGAUUUAUUAAAAUAAUGUUUAUUUUAUUAAUUAAAUAUAAAGAAUUUAGAUUUUUUUCCUUAUUUUUUUAUAAAUAAUAUUUAUCAUGCUCAUAAAGUCAAUAUGUUCCCAAGAAAACAAAAUUAAUAUUAUCUAAUAUCUGGAGUUUAAGACCAAAAUAAUAUAUUUAUAAAAAAAAAUGAUAAGAAUAGUAUCCAUUUGAAAAUAUUUGUCAAAGUAGUCUUUUUUAUCCACGUAAGCAUCCACAUGGAUUUUAAGUGUAAAGAACCACCGUUGGUGACUGUGGUUUUAGAACUUACAAAAAUUUCCUUAAAACCACAGUUACAAACUGUGGUUUUAUAAUUUCUCUUAGAACCACAGUUAUUAACUGCGGUUUUAAAAUAAGUUUCCUUAAAACCACAGUUACAAACUGUGGUUUUACAAUUUCCUAACUUUAUAAUUAUUUUUAAUUCGUUCCCAUUUUAAUGGUGUUAUAAUUUUAAUAUUAUUUUUAAAAUAUUUUUUUUAUCAAAACAACCAUAAAACCACGGUUAGUAACUGUGGUUUUACUAAUGGUGUUGUAAUUCAAAUUAGUGAUGUUAUGUUAUUCACAUGUUUCCUUGAUAAUUUAAACAAAUAAAACUCAAAUGCAUCCUAAAGUCUAAAUGAAAGAAAUUCUAACUAAAUAAAUUAUUACAACCAUUACCUAUUUUUCUUUCAUAUAAUUAAAAAAUUAUACAUUUUAACCAAGACAUAAGUUCAAAUCAUACUUAAUAAUAAAUAACCUAAAAUCAUAAUCACUGGCAUUAAUUUUCAUAUGAAAAGAUAAAAUUUUAAAAUAAUAUAAACAAUUUCUUUAGUUAUUUAAAAAUUUAAAAAUAAUAUGAAUAAAUAAUUUUCUUUAGUUCAUAUGUGAAAAUAUUUGUAAAACAAAUAAAUAUUUUAUUUACUAUAAAUAUAUAAAUUUUUAUGGGAAUGCAUGUAGACCAAAUUAUUUUCUCAAAUUUUCAAGGAAAAUAUGAAAAAAUAAAGAUAAAAUAUAUAUAUAUAUAUAUAUAUAUAAUUUUUUUUUUAAACAGUCGUAACAAAAAAAUUUGUGAAAAGCAAAGUUCUAAAAUCCCAUACUUUUUUAUACAUGAGUCCCCUUAAAAAUAUUUGUGAAAAUUACAACAUAAUUGUAAUUUUGAUAAAAAAAUAUUUUAAAAAUAAUAUUAAAAUUACAACACCAUUAAAAUAUAUGCGGAUUGAAAAUAACUGUAAAACCACAGUUACUAACUGUGGUUUUAUGGGUAUUUUGAUAAAAAAAUAUUUUAAAAAUAAUAUUAAAAUUACAACACCAUUAAAAUAGAUGUGGAUUGAAAAUAAUUGUAAAACCACAGUUACUAACUGUGGUUUUAUAGUUAUUUUGAUAAAAAUUAUUUUAAAAAUAAUAUUAAAAUUACAACACCAUUAGUAAAACCAUAGUUACUAACUGUGGUUUUAUGGUUGUUUUGAUAAAAAAAAUAUUUUAAAAAUAAUAUUAAAAUUAUAACACCAUUAAAAUGAGGACGGAUUAAAAAUAAUUGUAAAACCACAAUUAGUAACUGUGGUUUUAAGGGAAAUUGUAAAACCACAGUUUGUAACUGUGGUUUUAAGGAAACUUCUUUUAAAACCGCAGUUAGUAACUGUGGUUCUAAGAGAAAUUAUAAAACCACAGUUUGUAACUGUGGUUUUAAGGAAAUUUUUGUAAAUACUAAAACCACAGUCACCAACGGUGGUUCUUUACACUUAAAAUCCAUGUGGAUGCUUACGUGGAUAAAGAAGACUACUUUGACAAAUAUUUUCAAAUGGAUACUAUUCUUAUCAUUUUUUUUUACAAAUAUAUUAUUUUGGUCUUAAACUCUAAUAUCUGAAAUAAUAAUAAUAAUAAAAUUAUUAAGUUUCUAAGAAAAUUAAUGCUAUAAAUGGAUGGGUAGAGGGAGGAAGAAUAGUUUUCUGUGAUAUUGAUAUUUUCUUUAGAGCUGAAUUUAUCGGGCGAAAGCUGUGUGCUAGGGUUGUGGUGGGUUUUGGGUUUUGGGUUUUGAAUCAGACAUUUAUGUCGACCGCUGCAGCCAAAGCCCUUGCUGGAAUUCUAGUGUUUGUUUCUUACUCUGUUCGCCUCACCUACGCUAUUGUUCACCUCAAAUCCUUGUCCGCUUCCUUCAUUGACGCUCCCGCCAGAUUUGGUAUGGAACUUUUAGGGUUUUUUUUUUUUUUCUUGUCUGUUUGGUUCCCGAGAAAACAGAGAUUAGAGUGAAGAAAAGGAAAUCUCUCUUUUCUGAAACAAUGAAAUGUUUGAGAUUCAAAUUUUCAAUUUUUUUUUUCUUUUCUUGCGUUUUCUCAGCGACCGGCAGAGUUUCCUUUGCGACGUUCCUGUAUCUAUUGCUGCUACGUCUGUUGCCGUGGACCAAUAUUUCGAAAUAAACUGGGACUGAGUUUGUUGUUAUGUUUUUGCAGCUGUUAGUGUUAACAGCACUGGAAUAUGCGGAGCUUUGCAUUUGGCAGAUCCUCUCGAGGCAUGUUCUUCUCUGCUCAACAGGUUUCGAUCCCAAGAAAUUGAUACAAUAAAAUUUGCUCUGAUAAUUAGGGGUAAAUGUGCUUUUGAGGAUAAAGUCCGAAAUGCUCAAGAUGCUGGCUUUCAUGCUGUAAUCGUGUAUGAUGAUCGAGAUAAGGGGAAUUUGGUUUCCAGUGAGUCAUCUUUUGCCUUGAAAUAUUAUUUCUCUGAAUCCAUGGCAUUAGAUGUUCAUAGCUUAGUUCUUAGAGAGAGAGAGUAAAGGAACUUUCAAAAUUUUGACAGAUGAUAAACUCAGUGAAUUUUGAACUAAAUUUUUUUUUUUUUCCAGCAAUAUUCUUUACUUCUUCAGUCUCAAACUUUGGCACAUUCAAUCAAUCAUUAAUGACAAAAUCACAAGGACAAAGAAAAUUGAAUACACAGAUUCAUAAAUCAAAGAGUGUUUUUUUGCCUAGUUUCUUGGGCAAUGUUUGUAUGCUUCGUGUGUACUGUUCUCGCCCUCCUAGGCAUUUCUAAUAUAAGCUCUUACUUACCUAUCAAAAAAAAUAAAUCAAAGAUUGUUUUAACUACACCACAUGAGAGAAUACCUCUUAGUCUGGAGCUCUGGAUAUGCAUUCUCCUUAUCCCCUCACAGGCUUUCAAGGCUGUUACAAUGAUAUUUAAUCCUCUAUAUGACCUUUCAAUUUCAGUUUCCAGUUUAAGUUUAUCUGUAAUUACUUAAGACUAAUGAUUUUUUAAUUUCAUUGCUACUGUUUGCAGCAUAAUGCAAUCAUUUUACUACUGCUGUUUAAUGUGCUUCUGCAUUUAUUUUCCAUUAUUUAUUCUUUUGUUCAGCUACAAUAAUAUCUGCCAUUCAUUGGUUGUAGUGAUAGGAAACUCCCAGGGCAUAUGGGUGCCUGCAGUUUUUGUUUCUAAGGCAGCUGGUGAAACCCUGAAGAUAUAUGCUCAAGGACAAGAAGGGGAAUGCUGCAUUAUAAACCCUUCAUUCCCAGAAUCUGCCUGGACUGUGAUGGUAAUAUCUUUCAUCUCACUUCUUGUCAUAGCAACUGUCGUGUUAACGUUCUUCCUCACUCGCAACCGCCGGUUGAAUCAACGAGGAACAAAUCCCCACCGUCCUAGUGUGGAUGCCAAGUUGGUGGAAGUUCUUCCCUGCUUUACAUUCAGUCAAGCAUGUGAGUGCCGCGUAGGAGAUACAUGUUCCAUCUGUCUUGAGGACUACAAAGAUGGUGAACGGCUCAGAGUUCUCCCCUGCCAACAUGGUAGGACUUCACUACUCAAAUUUAUGCUUUCAUUUCAUGAAAUUCUUAAUGCAAUCGAGCACUAAUUGCGUAGCAUUUUCAUGAUUAGUGCAUUUGUUUAAAAGGUGGAACCUAAUAUAUAUAUAUAUAUCACAUGGUCACUGAUUUACUGAGUUCAUAGUUUCUGGGAUGUUUGCUGAAGUUCCCCUUACAAGUAGAACAGAAGGAGGAACUGGAAAAAGAUUCUUCCUUAAUCCAUGAACCAAUGGUGGUGUCACUGAAACGCCAUCCUUGUCCCCACACAAGAAUGUAGAUGGUUAGCAUCAUAGAAUGCAAUUUAAUUUCUACCUAAAGAUGUCUCCUAGAUGAAGCCAUCAAAACAUGGAUGUCGGUCCUUUAGCUAUAUUCCUGUCCUUUUACCCUAAUUUAUCAUGUAUUAAUUAAUUAUGUUUAAAUUUACCUGCAGAAUUUCACGCGAGCUGUGUGGACUCAUGGCUUACAAAGUGGGGGACUUUCUGCCCGGUUUGUAAAUAUGAUUUGAGUACUGAUGCCACAUGUUCUAAAGUGAAUGAGAGGAGAACAUUUUUAUUUUUUUAGUGCUUUAUACUGUAAAUCGGAUCCAUUUUGCCAAGUGUCUGUAAAUUUUUAGAAUACGAAGGCUUCAUCUUCUUUUUAGUGUUAUUUCCUCUUUCCUUUCCUGUAUAUCCUAGUCUAUGGUAAGGAUCUCCGUAAUUAUCUCUUGGGGUGAGAAUCGUGAAUGAUAUGCUUGCUCCUAAGUGUCUAUAUUGAUCUUAAAAGCUACUGUACAGAGUGCAAUAAUUUAGAAUUGAAUACAUAUGAAAGCUAUUGUUGAAGAUAAUAAACUGCAAUGGUACCCGAUUGACGCAUCAAGUGGUCAUAUGCAGCCAUGGGGCAAAGAAGACACACUUGUGCAUGCUUUAAUUGAUAUUUUGGGUUAAAAACCAUCCAAAAUGCACUUUGAGUUGGUUUGGGCAAGAUAGCCUGGAAUCUGCAUUGUAUUGGCAAUUUGUCACGUUCCCUGGGGAUAUCCAGUAUUAGCAUUUUAUUAUGUCCUCUGGUCAUUCUGAUUCAUAUUUCAAUCAAAUCUCAUGAGCCCAGAUUGUGCUCAGCUACAGGUAUUCUGCCCUUGUACCCAAAAUUUGAACAGGAUUGAGUUGAGCCUUUGUAGUCUUAUGCUUCUCGAUUUUGAGAAACAGAGAUGUAGGGAGAAAGCUUUUGCACAAUUAUUAACUGACUCGGCAGAAAAAUUCUUUGGAAUCCACCUCAAAUGGUGCCAAUGAAAGGGCCAAUCAUGCUGAAAAUUAUUAUAUUUCUAAGAUUUCAACAAUUCAUCUCCAUUGCUCACGAAAGGAAAAGUAAACGAAAUGAUUAAAAAUUUUGCUUUCAAUUGUUUAAGGGCCCUUCUAGGAAAGGGCAAGUAAACGAAAUGAUUUGAAAAUUUUGUUCAAUAAAAUAGUCUAAAGAUGCAGUGAUUCAAGCCAUCUUAGAGCCUUGACAAAUUAUCCCCACAAAAAUGUCAACCUGGAAGAAGAAUUCCUUUCACGUUAAACAAUCUUAAAGCCUUUUUGUGAAAUCAUCAACCAGACAGCCACAAUUUACAUCUUCAGCUAGUUUUCCAAGACCGACGGCCGCAGAUUAUAUCUCAUGGAUUCUGAGAAAAGGUGACUUUCUUUUUACACCAGAUAAAUCUAACUGCUGAAUUCUAUACGGAUGUUUUGAUUUCUUCCUUCUUUUGUCUUCUGCUCUUUUGCAGCCCAGCAACAGAAUUUAUCAGCGCUGAUGCUCAUGAAGCUAAGGAUCUUAUUGCCUCCGGCUAUAGAUACCUAGAUGUUAGGUUCGUGGUUGUAUACUUGUACUGGUGUAUUUUGAAUUGGGUCUCGUUUGGAUUUUCUGGGUCUGCUCUUAAUUUUGGAACCGAAUUCUUAUCAUAGGAUGGUGGAAGAUUUCAACAAAGGCCAUGUGGAUGUUGAGAGCGUCUUUAACAUCGCUUACUUCAUCAUGACCCCAGAGGGUAACUACUGCCUCCCUUUUUCUUUUUCCCGCUUGUGUUGCAGACAUUUUAGAAAGAUGAUAUGGCUUUGGGUAUCAGGUAGGGUGAAAAAUCCUCAAUUUUUGGAGCAGGUUUUGUCGGUUUGCAGCAAGGAAGAUGGUCUCAUUGUGGUACUCUUUUUUGGCAUUUUCAACUUUGUUAUACAUAGUCGCAUCAAUUAGAAACUAAUAUCAAAUAGAGUAUGAACCGAGUGAAUAUAUUUCAUUAAGUAAUGUGAAUUAUUCAAUGUUGGUGAAGGGCUGUGGAACCGGGGACAGGUCUCGUCUUGCAACGGUUGAUCUUCUUAAUGCUGUAAGUUUGUUCUUACCUUUUGCUCUGCAGAUUUUAAAUUGGAUAUAGCCUGAUUUCAUAUUUGAGCAUACUUUUUGCCACAUUCUUGAAGUCAUACUCCUCCAUUAAAAAAUAAUAAUAAUAAUAAAAUUCCUCUAAAAAUUUUCAACCUUAAUUAGCUAAUUUAGCUCAUUAAAAACAUAUGUUGAAUAAACUUCAGGAUUUCAAACACGUAAGGAACAUGGGAGGAGGAUAUCGAUCCUGGCACGAGGCUGGAUUGGGCGUGAAGAAAGAGGCUUGAUGGGUUAAUUUGGUUACUCCAAGUGUCUUCAAUUUGUAUCUUUGUUUAUAACUAGAGUUGUUUGAGAGUGACCUUUCAUUGCUAAGUAUAAAAUUGCUCUAGCCAUUGGAUAAGUGGAAUGAUGCUUCAAUAAUUGGCUUGACAUAAUGUGCAUUUAUGUGAUGGGUGUGUUCCACUUCUUUAAUUGAACAGCAUCAUACUUUUAGUUUUAUAUGAUCCAGGACAUUGACCAAUGAGCCAAGAGAAGAAUCCAAGGGGAUUUCAGUACUAUAUAUUAUUUCAUUUUCAUUUUCGUUAUUAUUAUCACGGCACAUUAGAAUGAAAACAAAUAAUCAUUCUAAUUUUAAAUUUCUAGGUUUAUCCAAACACUAAAAAUAAAAUCAUCAAAUUUAUUUUCUAUUCCCGCAUACCAAACACCCUCUAAGAAAGUAUAUAUAUCCAUCAAAACUUGAUCCUCCAAUUCUCAAAAUCUUUCCUAAGAGUAACUUUAACUUUCAAUAAAAGUAAAAAAACAUGAUCCUGAAACUUUAAUAAAGAGCUUCAAAGAAUCCAUUGAAAAGUAUAAGGGAUUGGUUUUUCUAUGUUAUAGCCUUGUAGUCAUCCAUGUGAACAAUUUUAACUCACCAACCAAGCCGUCAAUCUGUAGGAAAAAACAUUUCUUAAGAUUAAGCUCAUUGCAUCACCUUCCUACCCACUCAUUGCAUUUGAAGUUGAUAAACUCUUAGACCAACUUUAUCACACUCAAGAUAAUGCUUUACCCAAUUUUCCUUCAUGUAGAUUUUUAGUGUUUUUGUAAAAACCCGCACCCAACCAUGUAGAUAUUGUCCGCUUUGGGUCCAAGGGGGCCCUCGCGGCUUUAAAACGCGUCUACUUGAUUAAGAGGAGCCUCUACAUAUAUAGCGUCAAGAACAUUCUCUCCUAUCCGAUGUGGGAUAUCACAAACACCCCCCCCCCCCAUGCAGACACAACGUCCUCGUUGUGUUCCAUGGGAUUGCUGAGCCAAACAAACAAACACCCCUUACGAAGCCAAACAAACCCCUACACCUGGGUCAGGGAUCGACUCUGAUAUUAUUUGUAACGACCCGCACCCAAUCAUGUAGAUAUUGUCCACUUUGGGUCCAAGGGGGCCCUCAUGACUUUAAAACACGUUUACUUGGUUAAGAAGAGUCUCUACAUAUAUAGCGUCAAGAACAUUCUCUCAUAUGCGAUGUGGGACAUCACAAACACCCCCUCCCCCCAUGCAGACACAACGUCCUCGUUAUGUCCCAUGAGAUUACGGGGUCAAACAAACAAACACCUCUUGGCCAAACAAACCCCCACACCGGGGUCGGGGAUCGGCUUUGAUACCAUUUAUAACGACCCGCUCCCAACUGUGUAGAUAUUGUCCGCUUUAGGCCCAAUGGAGCCCUCAUGACUUUAAAACCUAUCUAUUUGGUUAAGAGAAGCCUCUACAUAUAUAGCGCCAGGAACUUUCCCCCCUAUCCGAUGAUAGGGGAGAAUGUUUGUGAUGUCCCACAUCGGAUAGGGGAGAAUGUUCCUGACGCUAUAUAUGUAGAGACUCCUCUUAACCAAGUAGACGCGUUUUAAAGCUAUGAGGGCCCCGUUAGGCCCAAAGCGGACAAUAUCAACAUGGUUGGGUGCGGGUCGUUACAAAUGGUAUCAAAGUCGAUCCAUGACCCCGAUGUGGGAGUUUGUUUGGUCUCAUAAGGGGUGUUUGUCUGUUUGGCCCCCCAAUCUCAUGGGACACAACGAGGACAUUGUGUCGCAUGGGGGGGAAGGGGUGUUUGUGAUGUCCCACAUCAGAUAGGGGAGAAUGUUCUUGACGCUAUAUAUGUAGAGACUCCUCUUAAUCAAGUAGAUGCGUUUUAAAGCCGUGAAAGCUCCCUUGGGCCCAAAGCGGACAAUAUCUACAUGGUUGGGUGCAGGUCGUUAUAGUUUCAAUAAGACUUUCGUCAAUUAACCUUCUUAUCAUAUUCUUAAGCAAUUAUUUGGUGAUAGAAGCUCAUUUUAACACAUCUUUUCUCUUUCUCUAAGUCGAAAAAGUAGAGGAAAAGUGAGUUUUGAUUCACUAAUAUGAAAAUAUAAAAAAAAAAAAGGAUCUCAAAAUUUUUAAAUUAAUAUUAUCUCCAUCUAUUUAAAAAUAAUUUUUUUGAAAUAUAUAUACUUUUUAAUGAAUCAUUUUAUUAUUUCUUAAAAUACUCAUUUUAUUUUUCAUGUCGUCAAUAUCAAUUUACAACUAAAUUCCUCCACAUAAAUAUUUUCCUUCAUUUUAAUAUUAUUAUUAUUAUUAUUAUUAUGAAUAUUUUAAGGGAAUAAUUAAAUGGCUCAUUACAAAAUACAUUUAUUUCAAAUUAUUUUUAAAUAAAAAAACUAAUACUGAUUAAAAAAAUUUGGUUCUUUUUUCCAUAUAUUUUCAUAUUAAUGAAUAAUUCUCAUGUACAAAAUUAUCAUUUUAUGACUUCAAAAAUAUUAAUAAAAUAAAAACUUAUUUUUAAUAAAAACAAGUUAGAUUAUCAUUUUAUCAUUUUCUAUUUUAAAAUUUAAUUGAUUUUUUAUUUAGAUUUUAUUAAAAUAUCUUUCAAUAGAGUUCAAGUAAUAUUUUAUUAGUUUUAAUUUUAAAAUUUUUAUUUCAAUUUUUUUUUAGAAUAUUUGAGAAAAAAAUUAAAAAGAAAAACAAUAAGAAAAAGGAAGAAAAGAAAAUUUUGUUUGGUAUAGAGUCCUUUGCGGUGCCGAAAGGUUAAAGGGUAAGCCGGCCGUGCCCUGCUGUCAUCGUAUUUCCUUUUUUUUUUUUUCCGCCCAGCGAAGCCCCUCAGUUUCUACCCUGUAUUAUUUCUAAUUAAAAUAUAAUCUUUUUUUUUUUUGUAAAUAUUGAUGAAGAAAAGGGCAAUUUCGGGAGAAUAAAAACUCUGUUUUUCUUCGUAAAGCCGUCCAUAGAAACAGACUCAGAUAUUCAUUCUGCGAACCAGAAACAGCAGGACACAUCGCUUCCAUAUUCAUCCGGUUUUCCUUCUCCAGAAACCCUAAGAUAUAGGCCCCUACUCUCUACCUCAUGGCCUCUCCUAGGUGUGGUUCUUGUUUGAGCCAUAUUUUUUCUAUAUAGCUGCGAAUUUCUAUAUAUUCACAUGGGUGUUCUUUGGGCUGUUGUCCGUCGUUGGUUUCAGUUUCUUUUCUUUGUCUUCUUUUGUGUUGCAGCUCUGCAACAGAAGUCGUCACCAUUGAUGUUCAUGCAGCUAAGGAGCUCACCAAUUCAGGCUACCGUUAUCUUGAUGUCAGGUGGAUUAAUCGCUUCUCUUUAUGAAUUGGUUUGUCUUUAAAAUUUCUGGGUUGGGUUUUGUUUUGAUUGUGGAACUUGAAUUGGAUUCAUAGGACGGUUGAAGAGUUCAAGAAAGGCCAUGCCGAUGUUGAGAACAUUCUGAACAUCCCUUACCUCUUCACCACCCCUGAGGGUACGUACAUAAUCUCAGGUUCUGUUUGCUGGUUUGUUUGAGAUAUUAAUAUAUCCUGUACUGGAUCAAGAACAUCAGCAAAGAUGAUAUGGAUGUGGGUAUGGGUUUCAGAAAGGCUGAAAAUUCCUGAAUUCUUGGAGCAGGUUCAGUCUGCUUGCAGCAAGGAAGAUCAUCUCGUCGUGGUAAUUUUUCAUUUGAUUUCCGGAUUGAAUCAUAACAAAUAUAAUCUUGAUGAAUUUUCUGAAAUUGUUUAUUUAUUCUCAAUGAAUGGAUGUCUAGGUGGGGUGAGAUCCCUUGCAGCCGCCUCUGUUCUUGUCAAUGCUGUAACUUCAUCUUCUACUUUCUUUUCUUUUCUUUUUUGUUUUUGAAUAAUUUUCUUUCUAGAAAAGAGAUGCAUAGAAAAUUUGGGGUGGCAGGGUUUCAAGGAUGUGAAGGACAUGGGAGGAGGCUAUGAGGCAUGGGUGGAAACUGGACUUACAGUCACCAAACCAAAAGAAGAAGAGAAGUGAUUGGAUGCUUCACUGUAAAGCUAGACCUUUGCCUAUGCAUUAAUUCUUGGUUGUAUGUUCUCCACCAAUCAAGUAUCACAUUUCUUCUCGUCUCCGCCAGCUUCCUCCUCAUACGGUGGAUAAGCUUUUUAAAUUAAUGAGAAAUUUUGAGCCCUUAAAACCCAAUGACAUAGUUGGCCUAUGUUUGUUUCCUGAGAAAAUGUCAGAGAAAUAAAACAAAAAGAAAAAUUAGAAAGAAAGAAAGAAAAAAUGGAGAAAAAAAAAGGGAUUUGAAGGUAAUAAAUCAUUUUUACUUAUUUUUAUUAAAUAAUUUUAAAUACAUUUAAUCAAAAUAUAAAAAAAAUUAAUUAAAUUUUAGCUCUGGUGAAUUUUACCACUUCCACCAAGUAUAAGACCUUGAACAGGCCUAACAAACUAUCUCGCCGUAAGUGUACUUGAACUUCCAAAUUCAACACAAGGUCUUAUUAACAUGCCCUAACCAUCUCAGUGGGGCUCAAAAUGUCUUAUUAACUUAACAAGGUCAUCCACCAUGGGUGGAGGUUGACACUAACAAUAUAAAAGAGGAGACAGAUCAGAAUGUUUGAUAAGCAACCAAUCACAGCUCCUCUUUUGGUUUCGUGGCUACAAGCCCAUUCUGCACCCACGCCAGAUACCCUCCUCCGAUGUCCUUCACAUCCUUGAAACCCUGCCAUUUCAUUCACCCACCCUCAAAUUUUCCAUCUCUUUUUCUAUAUUCUAAAUUAUAAAAGAAGGAAAUUUAUUCAAGAAAAAGUGAAAGAUGAACUUACAGCACUGACAAGAACAGAGGUGGCCGCAAGGGAUCUCACCCCACUUUGACAGCCCUUCAUUGAGAAUAAUAAAUAAACAAUUUCAGAAAAUUCAUCAACUUAUGAUUCAAUCUGGAAAUCAAAUGAAAAAUUACCACGAUGAGAUGGUCUUCCUUGCUACAAGCAAACUGAACCUGCUCCAAGAAUUCAGGAUUUUUCACCCUUCCUGAAAUCCACACCCACACCCAUAUCAUCUUUACUGAUGUUCUUGAUCCAGGACAGAAUAUAUUAAUAUCUCAAACAAACCAGAAAACAGAACCUGAGAUUAUGUACGUACCCUCAGGGGUGGUGAAGAGGUAAGGGAUGUUCAGAAUGUUCUCCACAUCGGCAUGGCCUUUCUUGAACUCUUCAACCGUCCUAUGAAUCCAAUUCAAGUUCCAAAAUCAAAACAAAACCCAACCCAGAAAUUUUAAAGACAAACCAAUUCAUAAAGAGAAGCGAUUAAUCCACCUGACAUCAAGAUAACGGUAGCCUGAAUUGAUGAGAUCCUUAGCUGCGUGAACAUCAAUGGUGACGACCUCUGUUGCUGAGCUACAAGACAAAAGAAGGAACAGAAGAAGAAACUGAAAUCGACAACGGAACACAGCCCAAAGAACACCCAUGGCCUUGUGAAUAUAUAGAAAUUCGCAGCUAUAUAGAAAAUGUAUGGCGCAAACAAGAACCAGACCUCUGAGAGUCCAUGAGGUAGAGAGUAGGGGGCUUAUAUCUAAGGGAGAAGCUUGUGGGCUGUGAGAUCCAGUGGGUUUUUGGAGGAGGAAAACCAGAUGAAUAUUGAAACAAUGUGUCCUGCGGUUUUGGGUUUGCGGGCUGAGUCACUGGGUCUUUUUCUAUGGAUAACUUUAUAAAGGAAAACAGAGUUUUACUCUCCCGAAAUUACCCUUUCUUUCAUCAAUAUUUACAAAUGGGUUAUUUUUUAGGCCGUGAAUCCAUUGCUAAAUUUAGGCAUCUUUUAUAGUUGUUUUUUUAAAAAAUAAAAUAAAAUAUAUGCAACAAUUUAAAAACAUAAAACAGUUUUUUAUUUUAAAAAACAUGAAACGGUUUUGUUUUUAAAAAUAAAAAAAUAAGAUGUUUUCAAAGGAAUAUCUUAAUUGUUUUUAAUUAUUUUCAUUUAUUUUUUAAGUAUUAUUUAAAAAAUAAUUAUAUAAAUAUGAAGAAUAAUUAAAAAUAAAGUAUUACAUAUAAAAUUUAUUUUAAAAAUAUAUUUAAAAUAUAAAAAUUAGUUAAAAUUUUUUAUAUUCUCAAAUAGACAUUUGUGUUUUAUAAAACAUUAGAAAAUAGGUUUUUUAAAAUGUUUUUUAAAUUUGAUUUCAAAAAUAGUUACCAAAUAGGGUAUUAGUUUGUAUCAUGUAAAAAUAAUGGAUAGAAAAUGAGGGAGAUCCGUUAGCUAGAAAAAAAUGGAAAUGCCAAAGAGAGUAGGCUUACUUUUUUACUCUUUGGGCAUGAAAAGGACACAUACUAUUUAGAUUUCAUUUUUUGUUUUUUUUAACCCAUAAAGUAUUUGUGAAGAAAAAAAUGGGCAUUUGGUAAAAUUUAGAAAAUGUUUUUAAAAAAUUGAAAAAUCAUUCACAAUGUUUGAUGAAGAAAACACUUUUAAUAAAAGUACUUAAGGAGAUAAACACUAUCAAACGCAACGUUAAAGUCGAUUUAACAAAACUUUUAGAAAGCACUUUUAAUAUAAAAAAAAUUAAACAUUUAAUAAAAUUUUAAAAACACUUUAUAUUGUUGGAAAUUCAUGUAGAAACCAUUGACCGAUGAUUCUUCUAAGCAUUUAUAAGGAAAAAUAUUUUGAUUAAAAGCACUUCAAAUAAAAAAAUACUCUCAAAUACACUUUUAAACUAUUUAAAUUUAUUUGUAUAUUAUUUUUUAUUUUUACAAUAAAAAUAUAGAAUGAAAAGAUGUUUAGAGACUUAGAGGGUGUUUAUUUUCUUUAACUUUUUUCUAAAAGUAAUUUAUUUUUAAACUUUAUGUUGUUUAUUUUUCUAUUUUUUCAUAACUUAUUAUAAAAAUUUUGCUAAAUAUAAAAAAUCAAAAUAUUUAACAUUUUCUAAAUGGAAAAUGCAACAUAUUGAUUUUUUUUAAUACUUAAUAUAAAUAAAAUAUUGUAAAAACAAACAAUUUAAUACUUAAUAUUAUUAAGCAUUAAAGUUAUAAUUAGAGUUAAGUAAAAAAAACAAACACCACAUUAAAUUGAAAUAUGGUAAUUUUAAAAAUUACUUACAAAAAUUGAGAAAACAAAAAAAAAUUACAGCCUUAGAUUUUAAAAUUUGUGAAUGUGAUUUUUAAAUGCUGAAGCUAAAAUAUAUGCUUUUUAUACAAGAAAUUUUACCUUUUAAUGUAAAUUUUAUUAUUAUUUUCACUUUUUUUUAAGUGAAAAAUAUAUCCACACCAAUUUUAAAAUUCCAUAUCAAUUUUUUAAUUAAUAUAUAUUGUAUUUUGUAUUUUUAAAAUUAAUAGUAAAUUCUUUUGAGACUUACUUUAAAAGGCUAAUGAUUUUUAAAAGCUAAUUAAAACAAAUUAGUAAGUUUGAUUUUAAAAUCUUCAAAAGUUAUUUUUAAACAUAUAGGACAAAUUCAUAUUUUUUGUUACUAUAUUAUAUAUAAAAGGUAUUAUUAUUUUUAAAAUACCUUCCAAUUUUUAACUUUAAAAAUAGAAAAUAGAAAAUACAUUCAAACAAACACUAAGUAAUUUAAAGUAGAUUUUUAGAAAAUCUAACCAUACUUUUUUUUACUCAUGAUAGGAUCAAAUUUUAAGGUUUCUUUUCAUUAAAAUAUGAUUUAUAAGGAUGGAUAUGGAAAUGUUCCAAUGGAAAAUGUAGUACCUAUGAUACCAAAGGUAAAACCCACACAAGAAAAAUAUAGUACCUAAAGAAUGAAAAUGUAGUAUCUAUAUAUAUAAAUAUCACUAAAUCUACUAAGAUGAGAAUGAGAUUACUAAAUAUAGGAAUCAUCAAGCCGAUAUGACAUACCAAAGAUUGCCCUUAUACCAUAAAAAUGUAGUGCUUAUACACCUUGUAUAACUAAAUGUCAUGCUUAUCUAAAAUGGUCAUGACACCAUGAGUUUUAUUAAAUGUUUUUUAAACUAGAUUGAUUAUUGAACUAUAAAAGCUAUUGUUUAUGGUUUGAUAGUUAAACCAUGAUCAAACUGAUAAUAUAUAUAUAUAUAUAUAUAUAUAUAUAUAUAUAUAUAUAUAUAUAUAUAUAUAUAUAUAUAGAUAUAUGUUAUUGUACAAAAAUAAUAUAGAAAUUGAUACAUGACAUCUUGGUUGAGUUGUUGCAUUUUCACUAGGAGGUCCAGGGCUUAAAUCAUUUCUAGUGACUUUGGCCUAUGAGUGAAAUCCUAAAGUAAUCAUAUAUUCUUUAUGGAUUGAAUCAAUGUUGAUGAAAACCGAUAGUAAUAGAUAUUAUCAAUACAGACACCUUGUUCCUUUAGAUGAUCUUAAGAAUAUGUGAUCAUAAAAUAUGUGGUUGCAGUAAUUCUUUACAAGCUUAUCUAUUUUCAUGAAAUCUCAAAUCCUUUCCGAUGCAAGGACAUUUUUCUUCAUCUGAUAAAUCUCAAUCCCACAUUGAAAGUCACAUAGACUUAAAGUGCUAUUAAUAUUGAGCUUGUGUCAAAGUUAGUAGUAAUUUUGACCCAUGAGUGAAAUCCUAAAGUGAUCAAUAUAUUUCUUAUGAAUUGGGUCAUUAUUGAUGGAAACCGAUAACAGUAGAUAUUCUCAAUACAGACACCAUAUCCUCUUUGAUGAUCAUAAGAAUAUGUGAUUAUAAAAUAUAUAGUUGCAGUAAUUCCUUACGGCUAUGUUUGGUUCUCGGAAAGUUUGAGGGAAAAUGCAAAUAAAAGAAAAUAGAGAGGAAAAGUAAAAGGAAAGAAAAAAUGAAGGAAAAUAAAAAAUAGAGUUAAAGAUAAUAAAUUAUUUUUAUUUGCUACUUUAAACUCAUUUUAUUUAUUUUAACUCAUUAAUAUCAAGAUUAAAUAAAUUUAAAAUGCAUAAGUUUCUAACUAAUUUUAAUUAUAUUUAAUUUUCUUCGGAAUAUUUUAUAGGACAAUCAAACAUGAUAAAAUAAUUUUCCUUAAUAUUUUUUUCCUUUCCUUUGCAUUUUUCGGAACCAAAUAUAACCUACAAGUUUCUUUAUUUUCAUGAAAAGUGGCAUAUUUAUCUAAACUAAUCAUUAAACCAUGGAUUGGAUCAUCCAUGACUUUCCUAAGAUAUCGAUGAGACUACUAACAAUAAGAAUCACUAAGGUUAAUAUGAAAUUGAUGCAUGUAGAUGAGUUAGAAUUUAUGAUAUGAAAGGUAAUACCUUCUUCAUUAAAAGAUAAUACUUGGAUUAAAAAAAAAUAGAACCUAUAUACAAUUAUGUCAUACUUAUCUAAACUAACAACUAACUAUAACAAUUAUGAGGUGGAUAUGAACUUAAUACAGAUAUGUAAAUACAAACAUAUAGUAUCUACAUAACAAAUUGAUAAUACAUAUGUAAUGAAAAAAUAAGAAAAUAACUCAUAUAAGUUACAAGGCCUCCAUAUAUGGGGAACAUUCAUUGACAUUCCUUACAUGUUGAUCAAUCAUUCAAUUGUCUUUGUGAACUAGCUAAGCUUUGGUAAAUAGUCUUUAUAAUAAUUAUGAUAUAUUGUUAAUAAUAGCACCAAUACCACUGUAAUACACAUUUAUAUUCAAAACAUAUGUAGACAACCUAAGUUAACUUUAAUAUUACAAUCGUCAAAACAUCAAUUACAAAGAAUCCAACAAUAAAAGUGAUUGGGGAAUCAUAUGAACAAGUUCGUAAAAAAUGGUCAUGUGUAACUUCAUGUUGACACUUUAGUGUGUUGGAUGUAGAAGAUUCAUCGAUUCUCUUCCAUCUUGGUUUAUAUAACGCUCCUGUUCAGAUAACCCGUUCUUUACAAUUAUAUCAUUUGUAUACACCCCUCUUAUAGAAGAUAACAUUUUUUUAGCAUUCAAGUCAAAAAUCAUAAUCUCUGCUUGUGCCCAACAAACACAACAUAAUAUGUUUCCAUAUUCAAUAUCUAGUGACAAAAAUGUUAUUGGUAAAAUUUUGAUAAUAUAUUCGAAGAUAAUCAUCUUAAAUGAUGAUAUUAAUUAAAGUAUCUUAGAGUUAAUACCACAAAGAACAAAACAAUAAAAUUAAAAAGCCCUAUUCCAAUAUCAUAAAUAGUGUCUCCUUUGCAACUACCUAUUUCAAUUUUUUAAAUCAUUAAGAACAAAAUAACAAAACAUACAAUGGAUGGGUCCUUAUAUCAUACCAAACAUAUUUUAUACACAAAUCUUUAUGUUUAACCUAAUAAAAUUUCAUAAAAAUUAUUUCAAUGUUCAUAAAAUAUAAAUUAUUCUAACUACGAAUUGAAUCUAUUCUUAGUGCUAUGUCUAUAGCACUAUGAUUGAAUUUUUUUUUUUUUUUUUUUGAAGGGGAAAAAUGGGUAAUCUAUUAAAAUUUUAAUUAAUCCAAAGGAAAUAUCUACAUAACAAGUAAAUAAUAAAAAUAUGGUGAUGAAAAUUGAUCUGAAGGAAAUAUCUACAUAAAAAUAAAUAUAAUAAGAACAGUGGUGAUGAAAAUUGAACAAAUAAUUCUUUGAAGGAAAUAAAAUAAGGCAUAGAAAAUUUUGUUUUGUUGAAAUUUUAAUAUAAGAAUCAUAAGAUUCUAUAAACAGUACAUAAAAAAAAUAUAAUAAACUCAAAGCUGUUAUGAAAACUUCCAAUAAUGCGGAUUUAGAACCCAAAUAACCUCUUUUAAAGCUUAGUCCAUUUACUUCUUUCGGAGCAUCACCAUUUCUUAGUAUGUGGAAAAAAAAUUACUAAUUUUACAUCUAUUUUUUCUUUCUUUCUUUUUUCUUUUUUUUUUCCUUUUUUAAGAUUUUCAUCAAAAUUUUCACCAACCAAAUCUUGGAUGAACGUUUAUAAACAGGAAUGUAACAAUCAAUUAUUAUAUAUAGAUAUAAAAUUUUCUAUUCGGCUAAGCCCAUUGCCGGCUAAGACUAAUCCAUGAGCCUAUGACUCGUGACGGCCCAACAACCACACGGCAGAAAAUUGAUGGGCGUGAGAAAGAUUCGUCAUUGGUUGUCGGGGCAAACGCUGUCGUUUUAUCCUUCCAUUAUUUAUUUAUUUUCCAAAGAACAGUAAGUCCGACACCCCCACCAGUCUCCACCCACAAAAUGGAUACCUCAAUCUCUAUCCUUUUAUGGUUUAUACAGUGGGCACUACGUGCUCUCCAUUUUCUUCUUUUUUUUUAUUUUCUCAAAACCCACUUUUAGGCCUCGUUUGUCAUGCCAUUUUGUUUUUGGCUUAGUGGGUAUGCCCAAACCAAAACCAACUCCAUGAUUUUUAAAGUACGAUAGGAAUAUUUUAAAUUUUGUAUUAACUUGGAUUAAUUUUUCCCAUUACAAAAAAAUAUUUUAAUUUUUAUAAUUCUCACGUGUAAGGAGACAAAUAAAAUUUGAAGUCAUAAAAAAACAAAUAUGCAAAUUGCAAUCUAUUAUAAUGAACUAUCAAUUUUCUUUCAAGUUUAAACUUAUACGAUUUGGAUUAAAUAUCCAUAUUAUACUUCUUAAUAUUUUGAAUAUGAAGUUGGGUAAAUAUAUAUAUAUUUUUUUAUGAUUGUAUUUUGAUCUUAUACUCGGUCAUGCUAAUUCUUCUCCAGGCUUUGUUAAUUCUUGGAUUAAAAAGAAAGAUUGUUAAAACAAAUAAUAUCUAUGAUGUCUGUAUCAAUUGUUGGAGCAAAGCGGAAAGCCAUCAAUUGUGAAUUUAUAACACAUUAAUGAAGACAAGACUGUCAACCAUGGGAAGGAAAAAAAAAAUGGUUAUUGGAGAAUCAUCUGGUGCAUGAGAUUGAAAUUGCGUCAAUUUCUAUGCUAAUGCUCCCAUGGAGUACCAAAUUUUUUAGAAGGAAGGUUUAAGUGAAAUAUUUUUUUUGUCCUUUUUAGCUGUUGCUAAACCAAUGAAGAAAGUAAAAGACAGAGGCACGUUCAAACUUUGAAUACAUGCAACAAUGGUUGGUGGAGGGGUGGUCGAGAGAUCAGUUAUUGGGACCCAAUGUGGACAACUGGUUCGUGACACCCCAUGCAUAGGAUUUAAUUUUUGAUGGGCCGAUUUCAGGCCUCUAAAUGAUGUCAUUCAUGGCUGCCAUUAAGCUCUGCAUCAGAAUACCCCAUUGCCAGUUGAAGAAGAAGAAGAAAGAAAGAAAGAAAGAAAGAAGAAUCCGUUGCUGAGGCGAGCCGGGUCUUUUUUUCUUUUUGUGUGUUGAAUCUUCGAAAUAUCAAACACCCAGAAGGAGAUUUGGUUUGUGGUUUGUGGGUUUGAACAGGUGAAAUGGAGGGGACGGAGGGAAGGGAAGAUCGAUCUUUGGCUGAAACCCCGACAUGGGCGUUUGCAACUGUUGUUGCUGUCAUGGUUGCUUUUGGGUUCUUCUUCCACUUUUCUUUGAAGCAUUUUAAAAAGGUAAAGAGAGCUUCACUAUCUAUCUCUCAGUUUAAAUCUUGAUAUUUGGUUUUUUGUUUUCUUCUGUUUCUCAUGAAUCUUGAUGAUUUAUCUGUAACAGUGGUUGGAAAAGACCAAGAGGAAAUCUCUACUCGCUGCUCUGGAGAAGAUGAAGGACGGUUAGGAAUUGACUUUGUUAUUAAGAAUAGGUUUUCUUAUUAGGUUCUGUUUGAUUUCUGAGAAAAUGUAGGAAGAUAAAAUAACUCACGCUUUGAAUCCUACAAAGAAAGAAAAUGCUAAUCCUAAUUCCUAAAUAGUUCAUUAUUUAGAGAGAAAAGAUUUAUCAAUUUAUCUUAGCUUUUUCCUGGCUGCCUUAAUUGAGUUGGGUUUUCAUUUACUUGGAAACUGAAACACCAGAAAACUUGAACUUGUCUUCUUUCAUUUUCUUAGUGGCUAAAUGAAACCUUGAUGUUUUAAUUUUGUUGAGACAUUUGGAUAUGUAAUAUUUCUUCAUGUGGUUGUUUUCCUUAUGCAGAGCUAAUGCUUUUUGGGCUUUUAUCUCUGCUGAUGGGUCAUUGGACUCUUUUUGUGGCCAAGAUUUGUGUUAAAACAUCAGUUUUGAGCAGCCGAUUCUAUCCCUGUGUAUUAGAAAGUGAUAUUAAACCCCUUGAGCACAUUAUCGUUUCAGAUUCAAAUUAUUUUAAUGACUCAGCUUUCCCAGAUGAGCUGACUACCAGGCACAACUAUUGUCCCAAGGUAAUUUCCUCCAUACUUAUUAUAUACUGGUGGUGCUUUGAAGUUAGUUAAGCUCUUAAUAUGUUAUAGUUAUUAGCUGUUUCUCUAAUUCAGAUAUCUUGUAUCUACGGUCACUUGGAUUGUCAUUAAUCAACACAACCUCAUGAUGCUUUCUUAGAUCCAAGAGCAGUUAAUAGAAUGGAAACACGUUGCCCCUAGAGUUGUCCUUCUCAAAAUUUUUACUCCCAAUAAGACAGGAUUCUCAAUUCUAUUGGUGAGUUGUGCUUGUUGGAUGGUAUAACUUUGGAAAUGGCCUCUACUAAUGAGCUCUAAAAGUCCCUGAAUCAAAUAAUUAGUGAUUAGCUGUCAAAAAAAUGUACUUGUUUAGUUUUUUCUUGAUAUAUAUAAUUUGGAAAAUUGAAAAGGUGGAUACAGGUUAAGCAGAAUGUCUCUAGUAGAUUAACCUAUCUACUGCAUUUUGGGGGUUAAAGUAGCAUGAAAGAUUUGGAGUUGUUGGAUAAAUUUUGGAGAUAAGAUUUUCAGAAUUAUGAGCUUAAUGUUGAUAUUUUGGUUUUUAUUUUGUGGAAGAAAAAUUAUAAGCAAUCAGGAUUUUUCUUUAUUCCUGUAUGAUUACUCUUUGUGUCAUUUUUUGGCAUAAGGAAUAGGAGUAUUAGGAAACUACAGGGUUUCUGUAGAGUAAAUGAUUCAACAAAAGAAUACAUGGAAGGUAACAGAUUUUAAUAACAUAUGAAUACAUGUUAAAAUUCCGUGAGGUCUAAUUGAAGAAUAUACUACAUUGGAAUCAAACAUGCUCCCAACCAAAUCACCUGUGUUUUCUGAACAGAAAAUCCUGUCACUAGAAAUUUCCUAUGCCAUAUUCCGGGCGUAGGACUGUCAUUUGCUUCCUCAGAAAAAACCAAGAAUGUCAUGAAGAAGAAAUUUUCUGCUCACCUUUUUGCACUGUCUGACUGUUGUAAAUAUGCUAAGAAGUUAUGAUAAUAUGUAAAACUUAUUGGAGAUGCUUUGGAAGGUGAAUUGAAUUUUUAUCAACUAUUGACUUUGGUUUGGUAGGAUAUCUUUCAACACCCGUAAUUUGUUAUCCAGGGUCAAGAAUCUUUUGCUUCAUAUGAAAGCCUUGAGCAGCUUCAUCGUCUAUUAUUUGUUCUAGGUGUUAUCCAUGUCUCUUACAGCUUCGUUACCAUUGCCCUGGCCAUGAUUAAGGUAAAUAUUCCUCCUUCUAGGUUAUUUUCCUUUUUGCAUCUUCGGAGUUUAACCUUUUUCCAGAGAGCAUUGAGAGUUUUCUUCUGCUUCAUGCAGAUUUAUAGCUGGAGAAGAUGGGAAGAUCAAGCAAAGUCAAUGGCCAUUCAGGGCCUACAAGGUUCUUCAUUUUCCAAUUGAAUGUAAUGUGUUUUUGUACAUUACUUUUUUCAUUUGAAGUUCUUAAUAUAGGUUCUUAUGGAGCUGCCCCGAACAGUAUAAGAAUGAGGCGACUAUCUACUUUCAUUUUUCACCAUACAUCCCAUCCAUGGAGCCAACAUAGAGUUUUUGUUUGGUUGGUAAAGUCACAUGCUUGAAAUCCCAUAGCUUUGUCUGGUUUGUACUAUUUCAUUGAUAUAAUUGAGAAAUAAUGUUUUGGUUGUGCAUUUAGAUUCUUCAAGGACAAAGAAAAUUUGACCUAGCAAAUCCUUAUCCUAAUUAAUUGGUAAAUGAACUGAUGUACCACUUCCUUUUUCCUUAAUUUUUCUGAAUCAAUGUGAACCCCAUGGAUUGAAUUUCAAUGAACAGAAUUUGAAGAGGUUGAAAAAUAAAAAAUAAAACAGGUCUGGAAACGAAAAAAAGGGGAGUUCGACAAAAAGAUUAUGCUGGAAAAUACAUGCAGUUGCUAAGUACAAUUUAUUUAAUAUGCUAGUGGCUCAGUCACUACACAUGACAGUUUCAGAAUAGUUCAACAAACUUUUGGUGUAAAAAACAAGCACUUGAUUGGAUAGUUGUGACAACCCUUGGAAUGAAGGUCUCGAUCCCUUUACUUGCAUGCAUACAUGUCUAUAAUGUUGUUGAUGAACUUCAAUUUUAAUAUUGAUCAGAUUUAUUCUUAGCACAAUAAUUUCUAUUACACAUAUCUAAAUGUCAUUUGCAUUUGAUUAUUUCAAUAAGUAUUUUGUUCCAUGAUAAAUGAAUCCUCUCUCUACUUUUGUUUUCUUAAUAAACAACUUUAUAUGCUAAAUAGGUUCCCAUGCUCAUUGUUACAAUGAAUUUCAUUUUUCAGUGUCGUACUUUUGUCUAAAAUUUCUAACGUUUACUAUAGUUUGUCUCAGUUAGUUUCCUGCAUAUAGCUUGCAAAUUUCUCUGUUUUUUGUUUUUGCAUUUGGUAUUUUCUGGAGAAUUGUGAUUUUGGUUUAAUUUCAUGAUUUUGUACUCAAAUCAUUCCAAAUUUCAGCUUUGUUUCAGCCGCCAGUUUUGGAGUUCUAUAAAUCGAGCAGACUACAUGGCUUUGCGCUUGGGCUUCAUAACUGUAAGUAUAUUAUUUGUUACAAUUCAAAUGGAAGAUUCCCCACCUCUUAUAUUUUUGUGUUGAUAAUGUGAACCAGUGAUUAGAUCUUCAUAAUUUUAUAUAGAGGUAUUUAUGGCAGUCAGAUUUACAUUUGAACAGUUCUUCCACACAAACUAAUUGCUAAGGGUCUUAUUGAAUCUUAGGAUUAGCUGUAGUGGGAUUGGAGCAAGGAAUCAUAUAGGUGAACUUGACAAGCUGGAAAUUGUAUGCUGCAAAUUUUGAGCUUGAUUUUAUGAAUGAGUGAUAAAUUGUGAAACAAAUUAUUGCAUUCAUACUAUACCACAAAUUCAUAUCCAAGAACUAGAUACACAUUUCUUUUUUCUUUCAUACCCUCACUUGGUUCAUGAGUGAAUGAGGAAAAAAUAAAAAAUAAAAUCAUGAGCCUUAAUGAUGGGUUGUUUGUCUUUCUCCCUAUAAGUGAUGAACUAGAUUUGAAAGGUCAUGCAAUUAUUAGGCCAGUGUUAAUAAUUUAUGAUUCAGAAUUGUAAUUUCUUUUCCCUCUUAACUAUUUCACAACCAAAUAGAGAAAAAGAAAAAUGGAGCAGUGAAGUUCAUGAAAUGAAAACUUGCUUUGCUAUACAUUCUUAAAUUUGCUGAUAUCUUGUCUCAUCCUUUUUUUAAAAAAAAUUGUAGACACAUGGACUUCAUUUGUCAUAUGACUUCCAUAACUAUAUGCUCCGAAGCAUGGAGGAAGAAUUUCGGGAUAUCGUUGGCAUUAGGUGCCACCUCUUUACUCUACUUUGGGUAUUUGAGUUUCCUUAUAAUAAAUUAUUAUAAUGCAUAUCAUUUUUUUCCUCCAUUUUAUGAACAUAUUUUCAUGACUUACAUUGAGGUCAUUGUGCAUGGUUUGGGCAGUUCCACCUUUAAGUCUGAAACAUAAGUUAUUUUAUCUUCUAGUAUGAUUUUUAAUUUAAGUAUUUGAUCAGAGAAAAAUGGAAGCUUUAUUCUUUAGAUCCUAGUUUCAUGCACUGAUAUCAAAUUGCUCAUAAGAGGACAGAAAGGGUAUGUGAUCAGAGACCUUACAAUGGUACUAAAAAGUAGGUCAGUGGCUGAGCUAGAAAAUUAGUUUGGAUGAGAGGGGAGAGUAGUUGGGAAAAAUCUUGGACUUCAUUUCAGGGGGAGGGGAAAAGGGCCAAAACUUCAUUUGUAGCCUAGUGGUACUUGUAAAAUGCAUGUAGAAUUCCUUGGGAAGUGGAUCAACCCCUCUUCGUGCAUAAUUUUUUCAAAAAUUUCAUAGGGGCAAGUGUCCCUGGGCACAAUGUGGCUCCGCCACUGUAGGUCAUAGACUGGAUUGGUUAAAUGAUACUUGGUAUAUUGUCUGUUCCAUAUUGGGAAUUGGGUAAUAUGGCUAUGAAUUUCAAUUCUGAGCUAGCAAAGCCUCAGAAACUCUCAGAUAGCAUCUUUCUUAACCCCAUGUUUCUACUAAUUAUCAAAGCUUUUUAGUUAACAUUAGUCCUCAAUAUUGAUGGUUUGCAUUCUAUGUUUGUUACAACAUAACUAUUAUUUACUUCUUUGCUUCUUUGAGUCCAUGUAAAUGCAUUAUGUGGAUGUUAAAAUUAGACAAAAAUAAGAAUGUAAAGUUCAUCUAGAAUCACAAAAUGCCUCAAACACUAAUCAAAUUUAUACAUAACUCAUUAACUCACGAAGACAAUUUAUUUGCAAUUAGGCCUUUUUUUCGCUGAUAAGCAAUUAUUUAGAACUAAUAUUUGAUUUUUUAAUUUCUUGCGUCAAUUUAGGUGGUGUUUGGAUACACUUCUUAAUUUAUGUUUAUAAAAACAGAAGUUAGUAGGAAAUCUUGUAUAAACAGUAAAGAUUUGUUUAAAAAAUUUAAUAUUGAAAAUUUUUAUUGACUCAAAUUUUAAAAAAUUUGGUAGUUUUUAAAAACAUAAGGAAAGUUCCUACUUUUUGUAUUAGAGCUUCUAAUUUUAUAUAGAAUUUACUACUACUUUCCGUUUUUAAAAACAAAAAACAGGAAGUGUAUCCAAAUUCCAAAUGCACCUUAAUUUUUUUGAAAUGGGUGGUUUUUCCUCAGUAUGUUGUUCUGUGGCUCGAAUCUUAGAUCUUCAAAAAUGAUGUGUCUUCCUUAGAAAUGGAGUUAUCUUAGAUUCUGAAAAUGAUAAGAGGAAAAACCUUAAAACAUUGGCUAAUAGGUUUCCUCUAAAGUUCAUGAUUUGUGAAACACCUGCCUGGAAGGUAUCAGGUGGUAUUGUCAAAUAGAGACCAACACUGAAGAAAAAUAUCAUGUCAAAUUUAGUAAAAGAGUAUUUGUUGCAGCAGCUGCUAAUUUGAAUACACAUGGACACUUUGGUCAUUCUCCUUUUAGAUAAAUGCAUCUGGAAAAACUGCUUUUGCUUUGAUGUUUCCUGAUACAAAUAGACAUACUGUCAGUCUGUCACCAAUAGAAUACUUGUGUGAAGAACUUCAGAUAAUGCUUAUUUUCUUAGACUGCCACUUUAAUGUGGCUAUGUAAAAACCAGUGAAAUUGUCAUGCCGUAGCAAAAAGGAAGAAAGAAAAAGCUACAUAUUGGGAUAUCACGUUGCAGUAAAUCACUCACAAUUCCUUUUGGCCUUUUUUGCAGUGUGCCUCUCUGGAUUUAUGCCAUUUCAUGCAUUUUCCUAAAUUUUCAUGGUAAUUUCCAUUAGUCCUGAACUUUCUUCUUGCCAAGCUAAUGAUUGAAGAACUUAAAUAUGGUAUCAAGCAACCACACUGAAUGCUUCCCCAGUUUCAAGAUUAUUGCUUGAGCUGCAAUUGUGUUUGUUUUCUGCUGAUGUACACAUACCAGUUUAGUUGCAUCAGUGUGUCUGAAUUGCCAUGAUGCAGAAUCAAAGAUUACUUCAAUGAAGUGUAAUGCAAAUUAAUUUGCAUUUUUUAGGACCACUUUCAGAGUGUUUGAACGAUUCAUGGAAAUUGAACAGCUCAACGUCUUUUACAUGGGAUAAAAAGGUAGAGAUCUGUCACAUUUUGGGGCCAUUAAAGAAAAGGGGAGCCAUCACAAAAUAUGAAGUCAUUUGAUCUCUAAAAAAAGGGUUGUGUGAUCCAGUUAGAAUUUACUGCCCCUUUCGCCAUUGCCCCCAUUCAUAGUGAUACCAUUAUGGGGUGUGUAAGGAAAAUUUACAUAGACACAAGUUUAGGUGACAGUGGCUUCCGAUAUUCCUCCCAUUCAUGUUGACAGGGUGAGAAAAGAAAAUUAUACAUGAAAUAUAAAUGAAGCAAUUCAAUUUCCAACAUCUGAGCAUACUCUUAGCUUUUGUUUAUUAAAUUUCUAAUCCUUGUAUUUACUUUUCUCUCUCUAGCUGUUGAACUAACCUCUAGAGUAUGGACUGUGUUGAUCCAUAACCAGGAACCAAUGUUUACUAUUGGCUUUCCUUCCUUCCAGCAAUUGUAAGUCCUCGCCAUUAAAAUAUCCUUUGAAUUCUUUAUUCUUUAUCACCCAGAAUUACGUUUUACUAAUUUUUCUCUCCCUUCUUUGAUGCAUAUAAAAGUUAAUCCUGCUGGUUGGCACAAAGCUGCACCGCAUAGUGGUAAAGUUGGCAGUUGAAAUCAUGGAUACAUCUCCACAGUUGGGAAAUCAUCAAGUAAAACUGAGGGAUGAGCUCUUCUGGUUUGGGAGGCCCAAGCUCCUUCUGUGGUUAAUACAAUUGAUAUCAUUCCAGGUGAAUGAGGAAAAAUCUUUAGUAUAUCAUUUCUAAAAUUUUAUCUUGAAACUGAUUUCUAUUCAUGGGCUGUUGAUUUGCAGAAUGCAUUUGAGAUGUCAACAUUCAUCUGGUCACUGGUAAGAGCUGUUAUAAGCUUAACUAAUUCUUAUAUGGUGAUGUUCUUUGUCUAGUAAUUAAAUAUACAUGAAGGACAUGUCCAUCAUAAAUAUAAAGACAGUUAUAUCAUAGCAAUAAAUUCAGAGCAUAGGCUAGGGAAGUGGACUCCAUUCAUGGAGUAGUACCUGUGAGUUUGUUUAGGAAUAGGAUCCUAUCUAUAGUACUACUGUUCAAUUUUUAACUGGCUAAAUUUGGAAUAAGUUCUAUACAAAUAUCCCACAUUUCCUGAAAACAGGGUUCUUGCUUUUUGUAUCAGAUAACCAAUUAUCUAAUGCUUGUUAGUUAAUUAGAUGGAAAUUUUCACUUGGUUGAAUAUAAGAAGCAAUAUUGCUUCUAUUGUUUCCUAUAAUAGAUGUUUAUGCCUUUCAAGAUCCAAACUGAAACAUAUAUAUCAUGUUAAGGUUUUAAUAUCAUUGAACAUCCGGUUUCUAUUCAUAAAUGGAUACUGGCAUGGGUUGUAGUUGACAUUUUACAGAGUGCUUAUGGAUCACACACAACAUGAUGGGCAAGUAAAAGUGUGUUUAUGUAAUGGGACAGAUUGUACUGAUUUAUGAUGCUAAAUCUAUUUUGAUUUCCAGUGGGAAAUUAGAGGACCUUCCUGUUUCAUGGAGAAUCGUAACUUUGCUGUUAUCCGCUUGAUAUUUGGGUAAUGUAAUCUGUUCAACUUUACGAGUCAGAACCCUUUUGCUUUCUUUUCUCCUACGAUUGUGAUGCAUAUGUGUUGAGCAUGGCAUUGCAAAUCCAGUUGAUCAGGAGAAACUUGUAUAUUUAUAUGUUAUUAAUUACUGCAGGGUUGUCUCCCAGUUUUGGUGUAGCUUUAUCACAUUCCCACUCUAUGUUAUCAUUACACAGGUUUGCCUUGAAGCUUUCUCUUCUUCGGGCCUUAAUCAAUCUCUUCUUCUUCGUCUUCUUCAUUCUAAUCAAUAUUACUUUGCCAUGUGGUUGCAGAUGGGCUCCAGGUUCAAGAAAACUAUAAUGUCUGAAAAUGUAAGAAAAUCACUCCAUGGAUGGCAGAGGAGGGUAAAGGCCAGACACAGCGGUGCCCCUUUUCCACUCCUCACUGCAACAUCAACAUCAUCCCUGUCAUCCUUGUGCCCUUUAGAGGAUGAGAUGGACAGAACUGAUCAUGGUGCCUCAAGCAGCAAGGAGGGAAGCUACUCAAUACUCGAAGACACCUCAACUCCAUACCAACCAGUCUCUCUAGCACAAAGUCCAAGUUUUGAAGUCUCACCAAGCAACAAGUCACCGGUCCCAUUGCAUUGUGAUCCAAUCCAUGACAGUUAUCACAGUGACGAGGAGGAGGAUCAAAAAUGAUAAUGGCAACCAUAUAGCAGAUGAUUCCCCUCUUCUUCCACCUUCUUGAACCUCUUUACUGUUGCUUGUAUUUUGUUUUGUUUGGCUUUCUUCUGUUUGUUUCUUUUUCUGUUUUCUGGCUUUUCUUGGGGGGUGGAGACAAAAGUUUUCUAUUGAGCAGCUGUUGUUGAACAUCCUAUGAAUUGCUUAAAGAAAAUUAAUUACUUAAUUAUAAAAAUUAUAUAUAUAUUUGUAAAAAAAUCUUAUUAUAGAACUUUUUUUUUUUUUAUCAUAAUUGCAUUAUGGGUGAUCACAUACUUAUGAGUGAUCGCAUGCUUAGUAAAAUGCACCCUAAUGUUAAUUCAUAUAGUUUUUAUUUUUUUUCAAGUUGUAAUUAUUAUCUUAAUUUAUUUUUCAUAAAUUUAACUUUGAAUUAUUAUUAUUCUUAUUUUUGAAAUUUAAUUAAAUAACCACUAUAUAAAUAAUCAUGAAUUUAUGCAUAUAUAUAUAUAUAUAUAUAUUUCAUAUGUUUACACAUGCACAAGAUAAUUAUAUUAAAAGUACAAAGAUAUUUUCAUAUUUUUAUAAACAUCUAUAACAACAUGCAUGUGUAAACAAUAUCCUAGUGCUAUAAAAAAAACAAAGAAAGAAAAUGAAGAAAAACAAGUAACCAUGUUUACAAUAGGUAGAUUUGUAUAAGCCUUGUACACUUGGUAUAAGUAUCUUACACAUUUAGUACAAACGACUAAUACACGUGCAAAAAUGUAAAAAAAAUAAAAUUAUAAUUGACAUUUAUGUACGUGUAAACAAUAUGUCAAAUGAUUUGAUAUCGAAAACAAACUAUGAGGAUCAAGAAAAACAUACAAAUAGAGAUAUGUGAGUGAUAUAUGAUAUUCUUGUUCAAAAAUUUUCAUGGACUUGAGAGCAAUAAUGCAGAUUAUACACCUUUCAAAGCUAUUAUUAGCCUCAUCUCCCCCUAAAAUAUAAUUGAACUAAGGUAAAAAGUUAUUAUCCCAAACAAUAUCUAAGUUAACAUUUGAUAUAUCUUUCAAAUAUUGAAGUAUCCAUUUUGUAGGUUGCUAAUAGACCUUUUCAAGGUGAUGAGUAUAUCUCUCAUUACAAAAUUUGUAUUUAAGUAUUUGACUUAAGACAAAUAAUAACAUAUAUAAUAUUUCUAACUACAUUGGCAUAAAGAACACAUGAAAUAUGCACCACUUUUGCAAUGUACUUUUUCUACAAUAAGUACAAUUUGUUACUUUUAAAUCAUAAUUAAUUUUCAUGUCCAAUAUUUUCUUUACAACUUCGAAGUCUUUUAUCCCAAGCUUUCUCUUACUUCAGACAUAUUAUGAAACAAAGCUACGUAUCUUAAACAAAACACUUAAGAAAGGAACGAAUUUGGUUUUCAAAACUUUUUCGAAAACAAGUCUAAUUAAGCAAUAAAUAUAAAGAGAGAAUGAUAGAGAGAUGCAAACACGAUUUUGAUUUUAUGGUGGUUCAACAAUUCCUACCUACAUCCACUCUUUUUAACCUCCUUUUCGAGUAAAGGUUUUGCUAGUUCACAACUUUCAACACAAGCCUUCAAGUUUCUACACUUCGAUUAAAUGACUCCAAUGAGCUCUUACAAUACUCUUCAAGUUCAAUCCCAACUCCGAAGCUUGAUACACUAAACCUUGCUCAAUUAAUGAGGGUUUAAUCUCACUUAACCUAUUUCAAUGAUUGAUCAAAUACAAAAGAAGUUAGGAUGAACACAAAUGGGGUGCGCUAAAGAUGAUUUGUAAGUGAAUAAUUAAUGCACUAGAGGAUUGAGAACUUUGAAAAGAGAGAAAUAAGUAGGUAGAAAAUUCAAUGUAAGUGUUCUUUUCUCGGUAAAUGAACACGAGCUCUCAAUUUAUAGAAAACCAAACUUGAACACCUCAAAUAGCAAAAUAAGGCCUCAAUCGGUCGAGCUCCGGUUUGACCAAUUAACUAGUUGUUAGGUAUUUAAUGCAUUAUAGAUGACCAUUGGUUUUUUUUUUUUUAAUCUUCGAUUGACCUUUAACUAGGCUUCGAUUGGACCUUGACCACGAAAGGUGAAGCUUCAAAUAGGAAUGCAAACUCUUUGGGAAAAAAAGAAAAUCUUUUUGACCUUUAACCAAACCUCCACGGGGAAAAGGUAACUGGUUGAAUCGGUUCUUAAAUAAUUGAGUCAAUUUAGGUUCCUCUUGACUGAUUGAACCUGUUUUGGUUUAAAACCUUCAUUUUUUCAUCCUAAAAACUUUCUAACAUAUGCAACAUCUUUAAGGGACUUUAUAAGUCAAUUUGAAAUCUUUUUGUUUAAGGUUUGUGAGAUUUUACUCAAUUUUAGAUAAUUGAUAAAACAUUAAAACUUAAUUUUAUGAAAACCAAGUGUGAAUGUAUGCAUGAAAAUGAUUUAAAUCCUAAUUGGACCCAAAAGGAUUCAUUUUCCUGGGCUUGAUAAGUCUUUAUGCAUCCGUAACUUUAAUUUUCUUAAAUUAUUUUAAUCAAAAUUGUCUUUUCUUUGGAUUUUCUUGUUUAUAACUUGAAAUUUGACUUGACUUAAAAUCAUUAAUUCACUUAACCAUAUUUUGUUAUCAUCAAAACGAAUUUUAAAGAAUACUUAGGCUAACACAUAUCAUGAGAGGUAAUUAACAUGUCAUUAGAAAAUUAUAUUAAAUAAAUAAAAGAAAUAUUAAACAAUUGAUUGUAAUAAACAUAAUCAUCAUAUUCACUUUUAAAAUAACUAUAACAAUCAUAAAGUAUACAACAGUAUCAAAAUUGAUUUAAGCAAUAAAGAGAUAUAUUCAACAAGCAAACAUGAUCCUCUAUACAUGGAAUAAUGAAUCCCUUAACCAAAUGCAUAUAAAUCCAUUUUUCCAACUCACUACACAAAAACGCAAUCUUGAAUUAUUGUCCUAACAUUGUAUCAAAGAGAGUGAUCAUUGCAAGUAAUAUUAUAAUUCAACUAUAUUUGACAAAUGGAGAAAGCACUUUCCACUAUAAGUGGACCAUAUCCUUUUGAACGAUCCUAGACCCCAAUAUAGGAGCCUAGCAUUGAUGAAUGGGUUGUGUCUUACGACCAACUUGUUAUGGUGAUGUAGAUGAUGGUAAACUCAUAAAAGUCUAACUAGUGAUCCCGACCUUAGAAGGCCCAAAAGGUGUUUAAUAAAAGAGCUUAAACAAAACGGGAUUGCUCGCAGAACUAUCCAUCUUGAUUGGGAUAAAGUAGUAUGACUAGGAAGUUGCUAGUGGUCGAGGCAUGCAUAUACUAGCAUAACCUAUCUAUAGAGAAUACACCCAACUACCCAAUGAAAAAUGGUAGAGAUAACCUUGACAACCAAUGUUCUUGUGCAUAACAACACCAUCGCCUAAAAACGCAUAACUAUCUAACCAUUAGCAUCGUACUAAAAUACUCAUAUGCCAACAUGAUAAUUGUUAGCUCAAUCAGGGUUAGAUGAUUAAGGUUAGGGUGAUCUAUAUAAGAAACAUUGUAACUCCAAAAGUGAAAAGGUUUGUUCAACUACACACAUCGAUCAACUCUAAUCCCUUCACCAUAUAACCAAACAAUUAUUUUUAGCUUGCAUUCCUUAUUUUUCUACUUAACAUUCAAAAUGUUACAAUUGAAGUUUCUUCACUAUCCUUAUUUGCAAGAGUUAGUCAUGAGGAAAACGAAUGAUUCAUGUAAUCAUCAUAAAACCGUGCGAUGAAUUGUUAUACUCAUCCAACUAUCAAUAUGAUCAAAGAGUUCACAAAUCAACAAUGAUAUUGUUUAAUCUACAUUUAAUAUCGAUAUCUUUAAUCUUGCUUUAACAUGCCAAACGUCCCUUCAUUAGCUGGCGAUUAACUAAAGAGUAAUAUUAUUUUUUUUUUCUUUUUUUCACAAAUUUUUUUAUAUGCUCAAAAUAAUGAUUAAAUGUGUUAAAAAAGUAAUUUAUAAUUUUUAAUAUAUAGUCUUGUAUGUGAGGCGAAAUAAAUAAAUAAAUAAAUAAAGUGGUAAAAAAAGGUUGAAAUCUUGAUAAUUCACGUCCUUUCUUCACAGACACGUCAACAAUCUAAAUAAUCCCGACCGCACUGUAUCAAAACUUCGCACUUUAUAAAACUUAAACAAAACCUCUCUUGCAAGCAUAUAGUAGACCUUCUUCAGCCUUCUUUUCGAUCUUUCUUCGCUCUGCUUCUCACCCUCCCAGCUCUCUAACAAUGGUGCUCGAGGUAUGCCUAUCCUAUUUACUUCCACUUUUGCCAUUCUAUUUCCUAAUAUUUAUACUCUUUUUCUUCUUUCACAAAUUAGGGUUUUCUCACCGAUUAUUUUAAUUUGCAUCAUUCUGAUUCAGGCGACUAUGAUCUGUAUCGACAAUUCCGAAUGGAUGCGAAAUGGCGAUUAUUCUCCCACUAGAUUUCAGGCUCAAGCCGACGCCGUUAAUCUUAUCUGUGGAGCUAAGACUCAGGUCUCGAUGCCUUCCGUUUGAUUGUGAAAAAAAAAAAAAGGAAGAAGAUAAAAGAGAAGAAAUAAAGGAAAUUUUGGAAUAUAGUCGCAGGAGAUUUUUUUUUUUUUUUUCAUUUUCUCAUCAAUCAAUUACAGCUUUUGAUUUAUGAUUAUUAUUAUUAUUAUUAUUUCUGUUGUGGCAAGAUUCUAGGUUUUCUUCGAUUCUUCCGAACAUUUUGUUUUGAGAUUGUUGUUGUUGCAUUGAGGAUUUUCUUUGAAUUUUUUUUUUCCGUGAACGGUGCUUGCUUGCGAUUUGAGUGAUUUGUUUCUGAUUGAAACUUUUUAAUUUUUUCUUUCUGUACAGUCCAAUCCAGAAAAUACUGUGGGAGUUCUUACAAUGGCAGGCAAAGGGGUCCGAGUUUUGGUCACUCCCACAAGCGAUCUCGGCAAGAUCUUGGCGUGCAUGCACGGUAUGUUCAUUUACCUUUUUUUCUUUUUAAUAUGCAUGUCUAUUGGUCUCCAUUGAAUCAUGUUUUCUUUUUCAUACGCAUGUCCAUUGGUCUCCAUUGAAUCAUGUUGUCCUUUGGGCGGCAGGGGAUAUGAACAAGCUGCUUAUAAAAAGAAAAAUAAGGAAAAAAAAGACCAUAUGGACAAGUUCCUAUAAUUAACUAAUUUUUUGAAGAGAGUUUUUUAUCCUUUAUUAGUUUAAGGAAAUUGAAGAUUUUGGUUUUUAUGAUUUUACAAUUGCACAAGUUUAAUUUUUGUCCAAAGAACCCGACCAUGGAGUGGGUGCAGUAGGGUCUUAGUAUCAUAGGGUUCUGUUGAUCAGUUGUUAUAAAAACGAGUAAACAGAUUAGGUUUUGGUUUAGCCAUAAAAUAACUUUCCUAGAGUUUAGGGGUGGCAAAGUUUGAUAUGAUUCAUCAACAUGGCUCAAACUCAACAUGCUUUUCAUGAGUUUGAGUUGAGUAUAAUUAAAUUUGGGUCAAAUUCAUGUUGACUUGCAUAACCCAUUUAAUAAAUAGGUAGUUUUUGGGUCAAUCUACAUAACACAAAUUUGAUCCAUUUAAUAAUUGUGUUGAUCUAAUUAUAACUUUAAACUAUUUAACUAAUAUUUGACUCUCAUCAAUUUUUAUCUUUUUUUUAUCUUUUUAUUUUUAUUUUUUAUUUUUUAAGUAAACAUGUCAAUUGAGAAACAUGUCUAGUUGAUGGACUUAUAUAAAACCUAACUCAACUGGAUUAUUAAAUGAGUUAAAUGGGUUACACGAUGUGUUACCUAUUUGAUAAUAAAAUAAUAUUUAGGUUUAUGUUUUUAAUAUGGUUAUUAUUCGUGUUGGGUUUGAGUUGACCUUUGUAGUAGAAUGUCUAGGCUUUGAAACGAUACAAAUACAACCCACUUACAUGAAUUGCCACCCUUGCUAGAGUCCUAUGAUGUGAUAAGGUGGAAAUGGGAUUAUAAUGAGUGCUAUCUUGUUUGUAAUUUUCUUAUACGAAGUUUGUUUCUAUUUUUAUGCAUGCUGUUUUUACUUUGCAUUUGUUUCUCAAAUGACUGUGGGUUUGAGAAUGAUGAAGCUUUUCUUUUAAAUGUCUCUGUUGAGCCUUUCUUUUAAAUGCCUAUGUUGAGAUUUUCUUUUAAAUGUCCAUGUGGAUCUUUUCUUUAAAUUUUGUAUAUUUUUAUCAGAUCUUUAUCCUCUUCUUGAUUUUUUUAUGUGUGUGUAUAUAUAUGUGAUGUUUUUAAGGUAUAUAUUUUUACAUAAUUCAGGUUUAGAGGUGGGUGGUGAGAUGAACUUAGCCGCAGGUAUCCAAGUGGCUCAAUUGGCUCUUAAGCAUCGACAAAACAAAAAGCAGCAACAAAGGAUCAUUGUCUUUGCUGGAAGGUAGGAAUUCUUUUGCUUUUGCAUGCCUUUUCAUUCACAUGUUCUCUAGUUCUUGAAAUUCAUUAUUUCUUGUUAAUGCUUUCAGUCCUGUAAAGUAUGACAAGAAGGUAUUAGAGAUGAUUGGAAGAAAGCUAAAAAAGAAUAGUGUGGCCAUUGAUAUUGUGGAUUUUGGUGAGGAUGAUGAUGGGAAGCCAGAGAAACUUGAGGCCCUUCUUGGUUCUGUAAACAACAAUGAUAGUAGCCACAUAGUUCAUGUUCCUGCUGGUCCAAAUGCUCUUUCUGACGUGCUUAUAAGGUAACUGGUCAACUUUCAUUUUUUUUUUUUUUCAUUCUCGCAUGACAUUGUAGAAAAUUAUGACAGUGUAAUUUCAUCUUAUAUAUUCUUUUGUUUUGUUUCCUCAUGGCAGUACACCCAUCUUCACAGGGGAUGGGGAAGGUGGAAGUGGUUUUGCAGCAGCUGCCGCCGCAGCAGCAGCUGGUGGUGUGGCUGGUUUUGAUUUUGGUGUGGAUCCAAACUUAGAUCCUGAACUGGCUCUUGCUCUUAGAGUUUCAAUGGAAGAAGAGAGAGCGAGACAAGAAGCUGCUGCUAAAAAGGCUGCGGAGGAGGCUUCCAGACAGGAAAAGGAAGGGGAACAGCAAUCUAGUUCUCAAGAUGCAACUAUGACUGAGCACGCCAAUGUUGCAGCUUCUGAUGCUGAUAAGAAAAGUGAUCUAAUGGUUUGUCUUAUCUUUGCUCAAACAUUUCCCAUACCUCUUCUAAUUUUUUGUGCUUGACUGCCAUUUAACCCAUCUAACAUGCAUAUUUGUGUGUGAGGCUGGAUUUCUCAUUUUCAUUUUGUUUGCCCUAUUUUUUAAUGUUCUUUUACUUUUAAUAAACUAAAACAUCAUAGGAUUCAGAUAGAUCUUAAGUCAAUGUGGUUAACUGAUAUAAGAAGAUAAGAACUUUGCAUUGGCUUGGAGUAGAUCUUAUCGUAUUUUUUGGUGAAUACUGAUCUAUGUAUUUUGAAAACUAGGAACUCUUGUUAACCCCGAGGGGUAGCUCAGUUGGUCCGGCCUUGGGUUUGCUCUCCAAUGGUCACCAGUUCGAGUCCCCUCAGGACCACUGGAGAUUUACCCGAUCGUUAACUUCAGGGUCCCAUGGGAUUAGUCGAGGUGCGCGUAAGCUGGCCCGGACAUCCAUGGUUAUCAAAAAAAAAAAAAAACUAGGAACUUUUGUUGUUAUUAUUAUUAUUAUAAUCAUCAAAUAUGACCAAUUCCUUUCAUUGGGUCAGAGAACAUUGCAUAGGGUUCGGAUAGCAUAUGACUUUUGUAUUUCGCAAUGGAGAAGAAGCUACUAUUGUUGUUGUAAAACUGAAUUUUAUGUGUGGGAAUUGUAUAUUGAAAUUUAAAAAAAAAAACUUUAAAAAUCUACUUUCCUACAUCUCAUUUGAGGAAAAGCAUGAGUCUUUGUUCUUCUUUAAAUCAUAGAGAAAUCAUGUUUGGAAGAUUCAGAUUAUUCUUCUACUGAAAGUUCUUUUUCUCCUAUUAACUGCCAAAGAAAAAAAUGGAUAAGUUUUUUGAAGUGUAGAGAAAGGCUUUCCAGGUAAAGUUUGAAGGCUCCAAUGGGGGAACUUGGAUCUCAAUAAUAGAGAGAAGUCGAGGUUUUGUUGUUUCGAUAGGUUUUGGAGAGGAGGAGUUCGAUUGGUUGUCGGAGCAUUUGAAGAAAGUUGUGGAGUUGGAGGCUUCCAAGGGUUUUAUUCGAAAGAUUAGGGGCAAUAGUAGGACUCAUUUGAUGGAGAUUUGUUUCAAUAGUAGAGGGAGAUUUAGGAAAAUUACAGAAAUUGUUACAAAGAGUAAACCUCUAGUUCUAGUUGUUCCUGAGGGUGUUAAAGGCAAUGGGUGGGAAGCCCCUAGGAAGGCGAUUUCUUCAAUGCAAGACUUGUCUGAUCAAGUUGUAAGAGCCUCGAAGGAGAUGAUUAAAGAUUCUUAGGUGAGUAAGGGCAUUUACAGAAGAGGUUGGUCCGAUGGAGAUGUGGUUGCAGAGGAAGGACUUAGGAACGAAGCUCUGCUGCCAGUUGAAAAAUGGGCCAGAGCUGUAAUUUGUGAAAGUAAAGGAAAAGUACUAGAUUGGUUUUAUGUAGGAAAAGCUAUUGCGAGGAUGAUGGGUACGAAAGGAAUGGUGUCUGUAACCCCUAUUUCCGCUUACAAGGGGUGUUUUUUCGUGGAUUCUGCAAGGAGAGCUGAUUGGUUUCAAGAUCAGGGGAGUUAAAUAGUGAGAGAAGGGUCUGUUGUUUUGAGGAGAUGGUCGCCAAGAGAAAAUACUGUUGUAUUCAGAAAAUUUAGAAGGGGUUGGUUAGAACUAAGAGGCCUUUCUUUUCAUUUGUGGGACGAGGUUCAACUGAGAUACAUUCUGCAGAAGAGAGGGAAGGUAACGAAGGUGGCACGGGAAUCUCUGAAGCUUGUAGACUUGUUGAAGGUAAAGUUAUGGGUGGAGAUGCUUCCAAAUGUCGUGCUACCUGCGUUGCUAGAGGUGGAAGAUGGGGCCUGGUCAUUUAUGGUUGUAGUUUCAGUCAUCGGAGAAGUGGAAGGAGACGACUUUCUCAGGCCUGAGUUAACUUGCAGCAAGGACGAGUUGAUGUCAACGGGAGGUUGCGUCUCUUAGAGGCCAAAGAACGUUGCGAGGCUACGUGCUACUACUAGGGACAAUGAGUGCUACAGCUGGAGGUCUCGUCAUCGUUCCCGUUCUCGUUCUUCAGUUUCAAAUUUGGCUUACAAAGCGGAGAAAGAAUGGGGAGAGAGUCUCUUGGGCCCAACAGUGGGAAGCGUUAUCGGGCCAACAAAGCCAAAUGCCUUUUUUAAAGCCCGAUCGUUAGGGCCCAGUUUGGGGCGAAGAGUUUUAGGCCUCCUGCUGGCCCAGUCCACGAAACAGAAGCAGGAUUCUCUAAUGGCGGCCCUAUAGCGCCUUUGUCCUCAAAGCUCCAAUGCUCAGGUUUCUCCGCAAAGAAGGUAACAUCGAUUGUUCACUCUCAAGAGUCGUCAAAGUUAAAAGGCCCCUCAGUCUCUCCAAGGCGCAAAGUGAGAAGUUGGCCUCCGAGCCUAAAGGUGUCACCUUUUGCACCGAAACAUAACCUAGAUGGGGGUGGCUCAGCGGAAGCAAAUCUAGCCAUUUUUCGAGGCAAUUUAGUCUCCAAUAAGGGCGUUCUUUCUCCUGUUCCAAAAACUUCCCAAGAUUUCACCGGGGAGACAGGGAGACGAAGGGAUUUCGUGUUGCAGUUUAGUAAACAAGGUGUGUCCUCCUUUCUCAGCUUUCUCUGAGUAGGGCCAUCCUUUGGCUGGGGCUUUUGCUCCAAAAUCUCUUCCCGUCUCUUCUGUUUCUGCUAUUCAUCCUUUUCGAUGUCAACCUUUUUUUUUUCGAUUCCGUUGGAGUCAACUUUGCUUCUCAGUGUGUUCCCUUUUCAAAUUCUCAUGGUGUUGAGCUUAGUCGUCGUGUUGGCGUGCCCUUUUCUGAAGGUGUGGUGUUUCCCGUAGAAGCCUCUAACUGAAAUUUUAAAGCCUGUCAUUUCCUUAGGGAAUCACUUAGUAGCCCAGAGGAGCUUUGUGUCUUAGGCAAUGAUUCGUCCCCAAAGCCAGAACCUCCCACCCUCCUGUUGAAAGCUUUUCAGAUUGAGGGCCUCAUGCCUAGGAAGAUGGUCAAGGUUUAGUCGGUUUUGGAGAGUUUGAGGAUUAGAAUUGUCAGAGAUAAUGGAAAAGGUGCGGAAUUAGAGAGCAAGAGUACUCUUUCUACGGACAAGGUCUAUUUCAGAAGGAAGAGGAAAAAUGAUUGUGGAACCAAGGGAGAGGCUUAGGUUUGGUUGCAGUUUGUGCUGGGUUUUUUGUUUACAUGAAGAUCUUAAGUUGGAAUACAAGAUGAUUAGGUUCCAAGAAGAAAAGGAUUGUCAGAAGGUUUUUAAGGUCUCAAGAUCCAAAUGUUGUGAUGCUCCAGGAAACAAAGAGAGAAAUUUGGGAUAAGAGGUUUGUGAGUAGUGUUUGGAAAGGUAGAAGCAUGGAGUGGGCUGCUCUUCCUGCUUGUGGGGCUUCAGGGGGGAUUGUGAUUAUGUGGGAUUCAAAUAAGUUCAAAUGCACAGAGAAGGUGUUGGGAUAUUUCUCUGUAGCUGUGAAGUUGAACUCUAGUGAGGAAGGGUCUUUUUGGUUAACUUCAGUGUAUGGCCCGAAUAAGCCUUUGUGGAGGAAGGACUUUUGGUUGGAGCUUCAAGACCUGUACAGUUUGACUUUCCCAUUGUGGUGUGUAGGAGGGGAUUUUAAUGUAAUCAGGAGGAUCUCUGAGUAAUUGGGUGAUUCUAGGCUAACAUUCAACAUGAGGUGUUUUGACAAGUUUAUAAGGGAGAGUGGUUUCUUGGAUCCCCCUCUAAGAAAUGCGGAUUUUACUUGGUCAAACAUGCAGGUUGUUCCUAUUUGCAAGAGGUUGGAUAAGUUUUUGUUUUCUUCUGAGUGAGAUUCCUUUUUCUCUCAAAGUCUUCAAGAGGCGCUUCCUAGAUGGACCUCAGAUCAUAGCCCAAUUUGUUUGGAAACUAAUCCUUUAAAAUGGAGUCCGACUCCUUUCAAGUUUGAGAAUAUGUGGUUGCUCCAUCCUGAGUUUAAGAAGAAGUUUAGUGAUUGAUGGCAAGAGUGUACGGUUGAAGGUUGGGAAGGUCACAAGUUCAUGAGAAAAUUAAAGUUUGUUAAAUCAAAGUUGAAAGAUUGGAAUAAAGUGGCAUUUGGAGAUUUAAGAGAGAGGAAAAAGCUUAUUCUUUCGGACUUUAGGUAGGAUUGAUCUAAUUGAACAAGAAAGGAAUUUGAAUCUUGUUUUGGUAUCAGAAAAGACCUUAAGAAGAAGGGAGCUAGAGGAUUUGUUAUUAAAGGAAGAGGUUUAUUGGAGACAAAAAUCUAAGGUCAAGUGAAUUAAAGAAGGGGAUUGCAAUUCUAAGUUCUUUCACAGAAUGGCCAAUGGAAGGUGAAGCAGGAAGUUCAUUAAGUCUUUGAUCUCUGAGAUGGGGGUGACUUUAAGCAACAUUGAAGUUAUCUUUGAGGAGAUUGUAAAUUUCUUUGGGAAACUCUAUUCCAAACCCGAAGGUGCUUCUUGGAGGGUUGAAGGAGUAGAUUGGGUCCCUAUUCCUGGAGAGAGUGCGGUUUAGCUGGAUAGGCCUUUUUCUGAAGAGGAGGUAUGAAUGGCAGUCUUCCAAUUGAAUAAGGAACAGACCCUUGGUCCUGAUGGUUUUACUAUUGCAGUAUAUCAAGAGUGUUGGGAUGUGAUCAAAGAGGAUCUUAUGAGGGUGUUUCUUGAGUUCCACACCAAUGGGAUAAUAAAUCAAAGUACAAAUGCGACCUUCAUUGCUAUGAUGCCUAAGAAAAGCCAAACUUUUAAAAUUUCAGAUUAUAGACCUAUUAGCUUGGUUACAAGUUUAUAUAAGAUUAUUGCUAAGGUCUUAUCAGGGCAUUUACGCAAAGUCCUCCAUGAAACAAUCUAUGGCUCUCAAGGAGCCUUUGUUGAAGGGAGACACAUUUUGGAUGCUGUGUUGAUAGCCAAUGAAGUGGUGGAUGAGAAAAGAAGGUCAGGGGAGGAAGGGGUUGUCUUCAAAAUCGAUUUUGAGAAGACCUAUGAUCAUGUGGAUUGGGGCUUUUUAGAUCAUGUGGUAGAAAGGAAGGGGUUCAACCCGAAAUGGAGAUCUUGGAUAAGGGGAUACUUGUCUUCAUCAAGUUUUGCAAUCCUAGUUAAUGGGAAUGCAAAGGGUUGGGUUAAGGCCUUUAGAGGUUUGAGACAAGGAGACCCCCUUUUUCCUUUCCUUUUUACUUUAGUAGUAGAUGUUCUAAGUAGGUUGAUGAUCAGAGCAGAGGAAACUGGGCUAACUGAGGGUUUCUUUGUGGGGAGGGAUUGGAUUAGAGUGUCUUUGCUACAGUUUGCAGAUGACACCAUCUUUUUCUCUAAAGCCUCUUUGGAACAUCUUCAAAACCUCAAGAUUAUCCUUUUGGUGUUUUGGGCAAGUAUCAGGUUUAAAAAUCAACUUAGAAAAAAGCACCAUUUUAGGUAUUAAUACUAGGUAGGAGUUGUUGUCCAGUUUGGCCUUGGUUUUUGAUUGCAGAGUGUCUAAGUGACCUUUGUCUUAUUUAGGCCUUCCAUUGGGAGGGAACCCAAAGACAAUAGGCUUUUGGGAUCCGGUGGUUGAGAGAUUUUUGAGGAGGUUGGAUGGUUGGAAAAAAGCCUUUUUGUCUCUGGGAGAGAGGAUUGCUUUAAUUUAGUCAAGUCUGUCUCACAUCCCUAGCUACUUCCUCUCCCUCUUCAAAACCCAAUAUCAAUAGCAUCAAAGAUUGAGAAACUGCAAAGGGAUUUUCUUUGGUCUGGAGUGGGGGAAGGGAAGAAAGAUCAUCUUAUUGAUGGGAUGUUGUUAGUAGACCAAAGGAGUUGAGAGGUUUGGGUUUUGGGAAGACUUCUUUGAGAAAUAGUGCUCUCUUAGGGAAAUGGCUUUGGAGGUUCCCUAGAGAAAGAAAUGGUCUUUGGCAUAAGGUUAUUGCGAGUAUUUAUGGGACACAUCCUAAUGGAUAGGACGCCAACAUGGUGGUUAAAUGGUCACACAGAUGUCCUUGGAAGGCUAUUGCUCAAGUUUUCUAGGAUUUUUCCCUUUUUGUCCGCCUAGUGGUGGGGAAUGGGAAGAGAAUUCGUUUUUGGGAAGAUCUUUGGAGGUGUAACCAAACUUUGUGCUCUCAAUUUGCUGGUCUUUAUAGAGUUAUUUCUGUAAAAAACCUCACUGUCUCAAAUGUCCUUGGCAAUUCCUUUCCAUUGUCUUGGAAUUUUAAUUUUCGCUGCAAUCUUACUGAUUUAGAAAUUGAUCUCCUUCAGAAAUUAAUGUCUUCCCUUAGUUUAGUACUUUAUUCUCAUUAUUUGGCAGAUUCAAGAGCGUGGUCUUUGUCAUCAUCAGACUUGUUUUUAGUGAAAUCUUUUUUCUUGGCCUUGUCAAAAGUCUCAAAUCCUAUCUUGUUCCUUCCGGCCAAGUUCUUGUGGAGUUCAAAAGCCCCCUCAAAGGUUAAGGCCCUCGCUUGGUUAGUAGCACAUGGGAAGGUAAACAUCAAUGACAAGUUGCAAUUGAGAAGACCCUACAAAUCCCUCUGUCCUCAAUGGUGCAUUCUUUGCUAAGGAAAUGGAGAAUCGAUCAACCACCUUUUUCUUCAUUGUCCUGUUACCAUUGGACUCUGGCACAAGUUGUUCAAUCUAGCAGGGUUGGCUUGGGUCCCUCCAAGGAGUAUUGAGGACAUGCUGGUUAUUGCUUUUAAAGGCUUAGGGAACUCAUUAAGAGGCAAGACACUUUGACAAAUCGCUUGCCUUACUUUGUUAUGGAUGGUGUGGCAAGAGAGAAACAAUAGGAUCUUUGAGGAUAAGGGGAGAACGGAAGAGAUGUUUUAGAGGAGUUCCUCUUAAGUAUUUUACAAAUCAACUAGACUGCGGUUUGCGAUUCAAAAGUUUGAGAGUGUUGGGGUUUUUCUUUGUUUUUAGUUUUCUAUAGUUGGGUGUUUUCACUGUUGUUCAGUUUUUUGUUUUUGUGGGAAGGACCUCUCAUCCUUCUCUUGUUUUCUUCUCUUUUUCUUGUAUCUCUUCUUUCUCUUGUAUCUUUUCUUCUAUUAAUAUAUUUUUCUUCGUUUCUGAUAAAAAAAAAGAAAUUAUGUUUGGAAGUGUGUUCUCAUGGCUGAGAUUUCUAUCCAAAUGUACCGAAAAGUUGUGUUUAAACAUUAGUUUUAGGGUUUAGGAAGCUCUCCCAAAUGAGGCUGCAGUGAAGGACAAGCCAUACUCUACAAAGAAUAACAUUCAAACAGAAAAGAAAAGGUUCUAUUGAAAAGAAAACAAACAAGGAGGGGCUUGAAGUAAUGAUUGCCAAAAAAAGGGGAAAAAGAAAGAGAAAGAAAAACCUUCAAAUUUAGAUAAAUAAGAUGAAUGCUCAUAGAGGUAAAAAAAAAUUAUUUUUGAUCAGGCUCAGAGAGGUAAAAGAUCCCUUAAAGAAAGUCUGUAACAUGAGGGCCUCAUGCUUAGCUAUAUAAUUUGCUAUCUAAUUAGCUGAGUAGAAAAUCCAAGUGAUGAGUUCUAAAACUGUAUUAUUACCAAUGAUUGAUGCUACCAUUAUCCAUACCUCUAAGGACCUCAUUUUUGUUUGAUGCUCAAAAGGUGACAGUUGCAGAAUGCUCCUCCACAAUGAAUUUAGACAUAACCAUAGAUCUAAUCAAGAGUAAUCCCUCUAAAGGGGCUUGUUUCUCCACCUUGAUAGCCUAUCUAGAUAACUAGUUCUAGUUACAACUUCUAAGAUAAUACCAUAAUGCUCCCAUUCACUAAGUGACUAGACUCCCUAAGGAAUAACCAUUAAAUUUUAUCUUGAGUGCACUUGCUAGAGGGGCUCUCAACUUAGCUUCCAUCUCUAGCAUACUCAAAGAACAAACAGUGCUCCAAUCUUGCAAAACCAAGCUGAAUGGUAUUCCCAACAAAAACAUCUAUAAUUGAAACCAAAAGGGAGGAUAAAAGAUCUUAUCUCCUCCUAUAAAGCCUCCUUGGACCUCCAUCUAUCCUAAUAAUUUUUGGUAUUUUUCUCAAGUCUAAUCAUUUAGAUCAAAGUAAGAUUAAAUAUUGACCAAAGAACUUUGCCUUUGGACCUUUGAAUCCCUGAGGCAAUAGUCAUCAUGUAAACCAAGAUAUAAUCCAUCUUUGCAAGCCUUAGUAGUUUAUUCCAAAUCCCUAAUGUAAAUAGGCAAUGAAAAGCCUUGAUUUUUUCUAGGGGCUUCAACUUUCUAUGUAAAUUUGGUUGGAAAAAAGUGAUGUGAUGGUAUGUUGAAGAGAAGACAAGAUAGUGGUAAAUUGAAAUAAACUAUAAAGGAGGUCAAAGCACAUCAUGGAAGGAAGAAGAUAAUCACACAAGCAUUAGAUAAAGCAAAUAAUUCAUUAAUCUUCUUUUGUGUUUUUUUUUUAUAGGUAAAUUUUUGUCCCCAUUGGGACUUGAACCUGGAAUCUCCCACAAACCCUCCCCAUCAAAAGGAGGAUAGCCCAAACAAGACUGUACAAGGGUGAUUCUGCCUCUUAAAGAUAAAUGACAUUUCUUUGAACUAUAGUCUACUAUAUAUCUUAUUUUCAAAUGGGAAAUCAAUGAGGAUAGCCCAAAACUCCAUAGCUGGUCAUAGGUGGUGGUAACAUAUGAGAUUAGUAUCUAAUGUUUGUAUGAAGAGGCAAUGCACUAAUUGAUGUGUUUGAAUUGAGAAACCUAAAAUACAAGGAAGAGUUGGGAAGAUUAUGGGUUUUUUGGAUUGCUAUUUAAAAAAACAACCAUGAGCUUGCUAAAAUUAAUCCAUGUUGCAGAAUAUCAAGUGUUAGGUUUUUGUAGGAACUGUAGUAUUCAAAUUAGAGAAUGGUACAUAUUGGUUUACUUAUUUUAUCACUUGGUUAAUUGGACUACUAUUUGCUUGGACAAAAAGGAUGUUGGGGCUUGGCAUAAAAAAUCUCCAUACUCUUAAGAAGGCUCUUCUUGGUAAAUGGAGUUGAAGAUUCAUGUCAGCAAGGGAGUCCCUUUGGCAACAAGUUGUAGAUCAGAAGACGGGAUGGUGCUCAAGGGCUACGAGGAAUGGCUAUACAAUGGAGCUGUGGAAGGCCAUAAAAAAUGGUGGGAAGUCUUUAGAAGAGAAGCCACCUCAUUGUGGGUAAUGAUAGAUGAAUAAAAUACUUGGUGUGGUGAAAUCUCAUUGGAAGAGGCUUUCUCAAUGUGAUUUGACAUAGCCAUUGACAAAGACUCUUAGUAAAUGGAGCAGGAGAUUCACGUCAGUGAGAGAGUCCCUUUGGAAACAAGUUAUAGAUGGAAAGUAUGGGUCAAAAGAAGGGAGAUGGUGCUCAAGGGCAAUGAUAGAUAAAUAAAAUUUUUGAAAGAUCUUUGGUGUGGUGAAAUCUCAUUAGGAGAGGCUUUCUCAUUUUGAUUUGACAUAGCCAUUGACAAAGACUCUUGGACGGCAGAUUUGUUGGAGCAAGAUGGGAAAGAGAGCUGAUGUAGCCCCCAUUUCCACUAACAACUCUAGGAUUAGGAAGCAGAAGGAGUGGAGGCUUUUUUUUCCUUCUUUUUUUUUUUUCCUUUUUUUGUUUCUUUUUCUAUUUAUUUAUUUUUCCUGAAACUGCAUCCUUUCUCAAUUAGAAGGGAUGAGGAAGGCAGUUUGGGUGGUAAGGAAACUAAGGCUCAUAAGUUUUUCAUCAAAUCUUUCUAUACAUCCCUAGCCCAAGGAAAAAUUGAGUUUUUCCCAUCAAGCAUCAUUUGGAAUAAGGUAGGUUUCUUCUCUUGACAAGCCUUUUGAGGAAAGAUUUUAACUUUUGAUCAGCUUAGGAGGAGGGGUUGGAGCUUUCCAAACAGAUGCUACAUGUGUGAAAGGGAUGAAGAGUCAGUUAAUCACUUGCUUUCUUCAUUGUCCCAUAGUGAAAAUCCUGCGGUAAUUGGUUUUCUCUUUGUUUGGAGAGGCUUGGGCUCCAUUACGAGGCAAUCUUCUGAGUUGGCAUGAAUCUUUUGUUGGAAAGAAGAGAAAGAAAGCUUAGAGGGUCACUCCUUUGUGCCUUUUUUAGACAUUAUGGAAGGAAAGAAACAGGAAGUCUUUCUAAGGUGUAGAGCAGUAAGAACAAGUGAUUAAAUCUUCUUUUUUGUAUAACUUCAUGAAUUGGGCUAGAUUGCAUAUAGAUGAUCAUGAUUAAAUCUUCUUUUUUGUAUAACUUCAUGAAUUGGGCUAGAUUGCAUAUAGAUGAUCAUGCUACAUCAAAGGUAGGUUUUGUCAGCUAGCUAAGCUCAAAGUAAGGAGAGGAAGGUGGUUUUUUGUUUUUCCUUUUCUUUUUCCUUGCCUGUGAUGGUGCUCUUUGUAUACAUUGUGUGUACCUUACGAUGCCUUUUUCUUGGUGCUUUCUUUAUUAUAAUAUUUGCUCUGUUUGCUUAUCAAAAAAAAUAUUUUUCACUUUUACUUAAAAUGAAGAGAGGAGAUUUUUUGGCUCAAUAUGAACCUCUCUCCUCAGGAUAGGAGUACGAGUCCUUUGCUCAUAUUUAUAUCCAACAUUUAUAUCCAAAGAUAUGGAGACAGAGCAAUGGGACCUGUUAUUCUCACUGUACUCAACUCACUUUCAUUUUUGUCAACAAGCUGGUGUUAAUAAGAGCUCAAACCAUGGUAAAUGUGAAGAUGUGUGAAUUUUUCUGUUUCUAAAUCUAACAGAAAUCUAUGUCAUGAUCCACUCCCUUAUAAGGGGCUACAUCUUAUUACUGAUUUCAGUCAAAACUCCUUGGCAUAUCAUGAUUUUGCCUUGCUGGCUUUUUUCUGUGUUCAUGAUUUAGGACAUUUAUUACUACUUGACCUGACUCUGAAAUGCUGACAGGAUGAUGAGAAUGCUUUGCUACAGCAGGCCCUUGCAAUGUCUAUGGAUGACCCUGCCACUAGCCUUGCCAUGAGAGACACAGAUAUGUCUGAGGCAGCUGCAGAUGAUCAGGACUUGGCUCUUGGUGAGUUUGCUCAAUCCCUUUUUGUUGUAUGUAGAGGUUUUAUGGUCUGUCCCGCCUCUAUAACUCAUCCUUCCAUUACUGGUGGCCUAUCAUGAAUGCCAGUGUGUGCACCACUAUGAUAUUCUCUGUGCUAAUGAUUUUAGGCUGUAUAUUUCAUGAGCUGUGUAAGUAUGUGCAUGCUCGUGAGCAUGUGUAUGUGAGUGAAGGCUCCUUCCUUUUUUAAUAGGUAACAUAUUUUCCCCCUUACCUGUAGCCACCCACAUCCCACCCCAAGUCCUUGCAACUUGAUAGUUGAAGCUCCUAAAUUGCAGUUAGAAAAUCCAUUUCACCUUGAAGUUAUAUGCUUGUUAGUGAUUCCAAUGCGUAUUUUAUGAGCUGUGUGUGCAUGGGUGUGAGCUCUGUCCUUGAAGCUAGAACUUCAUAUCCAGUUUGCAUGAAAUUAGAUGUGUUUUAGUGAUUCCAGCCUGUGUAUUAAUAUAAGCUAGUGAUGUCCAGGCUGCCUGUAAUUCUAGGGUUUGUAUCUUGUAAAUUUAUAUUUUAUCACAUGGUUUUUUUAAUGUGUUGCUCAUAGCUACAUAACUUACAGGUUGUGAGCUGUCAGCUACAAGAGCGAGUUUUUUUAUAUGAAUAUUUUUUAUUCUAUGUUGCCUUGUAUUUUGCCUUUUUCUGAAGCCUUUAUUUUUGGGGGGGUUAUUCCAUAAGAGAGGUGAUGCAUCAGUUGAUGACAUAGGUUGAUGAUUUGUCUAGUUUGGAUAUCAAUCGAUCAAAUAAAUAAAUAAAAGAAGUGCAGCUAAUUCAGAAAUCCUAGAUAAUUUUGUUUUUUUUUUUUUUGGGAGAAUGCACUAGUUGAACAUGAAGACUCUCUAUGCCAUCCCAAAGAAGCACCAAGAAUCCAAAUACUAGCUAAAUAAAUUGUGCUAAGAAACACCAAGAAUCCAAAUACUAGCUAAAUAAUUUGUGCUGGCUAGAAUAUCUGGGCAGAAAUGUCCCUGAAUCUCUUAUGAAAUUUCCAAAUGGCUCCUACCAAUAAUUAAUCAAGGACACAUUACUAAAUUGUUGUAUGAGCCUCAGGUUUUUAAAAACCAUCUUAUGGGGUUAAAACAAUCUAGCAUUCAUCCUAAAUACUCACUAUUAUUUUCCUCUGUGUGUAUUUGUUCAUCCAUUCCCCCUUUUCUUGUCCUUGCAGCUCUUCAAUUAUCUGUGCAGGACACUGGAAAAGAUUCAACCAGUCAGACCGACAUGAGUAAAUUGUUGACAGAUCAGACUUUUGUGUCCUCUAUCCUUGCAUCUGUAUGUGACUGAACCCUCACUUUUCCAAAAAGUAAAAAGGAAAAACAAGCACAGGCACACACACACACACACACACAAGAGAGAGGAGAUGGAAAAAUGACAGAUGAGGAUCUGCUGCAGUUAGCAUUUCAUGAAAAGCAUUUUCGAUUUUGUGCAGCUUCCAGGAGUUGACCCCAAUGAUCCUUCAGUCAAAGAUUUGCUAGCAUCCAUGCAAAAUGAGUCAGAGGUGGGUUUGUUAACUUACAAUUUAUGUUGAUUACAAGAGGCAUUUUCUUGCCUCCACUAAUUGCCCAAUAUGUCAGGCAGAGAUGUUGAUUGUAUAAUUGUUUCUUCUCAGUCCCAGCAGAAGAAGAAUGAGGACAAGGCACCAGAUGAGGAAGACAAGUGAAUAAUCUGAUGCUGUGGAAUUUGUUUUCAUUUUUCAGGUUUAAACUUUGAACCAUCAAGCUUUAUCUGGACUACCAGUAAUAUGGAAUUUUUACCUUAAUAGCUAACUCUGUGGGGCAACUUUUUCUCUUGCAGACAAGUAGCUUUAUGUUGUGGUGAAUUGGCCAUAAGGGUGCAUAUGGAUGAACUUUAUGUGUCUUGGGAGAAUCGUCGAAGAACAGAGACAAACUUUAUAAGCUAGGGAAUUAAAUGAGACCUCUGCACUUCCUUAGAUAUUUAUACAUUGUUGUUACCCAGAAAAUUGAGCUGGCCUUGUUUUACUAUGGAUAUAUAUGAUUGUGAGGUACGUGAACAAUUGGCCAGUUAAAAUCUCUUGGAAAUUUCAUAUUGGAGUUGCUCGCAUCAAAUAUGGACCAAUUAAAUGGAGAAUGGAAAACCCUUUGUUACAAGGUUUUAUCCACCGAAUGUGCUGCAUGCACUCCCAAGGAUGUUGGGACUAGAGCUCCCUAUCCAUAUCCAGGAAUUGAAAUUCUCCCAAUUUUUAUUUUGACAUUGCAUGAUGUGCAUGAUUGAAGGUUAAUUGCUGGGGACCCUAUUAUUUGGCAUGUGUUCAAAAUGUGUGAUGUUACAUGCUUAAUCAAGGCACGACCAAAUAACACACCCUCUUCAUUGUGGCAUGAUCUGCCAUGCAUCCAAUGUGCGAAAUGCUAGGCUUAGUAUUACAUAAUCAAUUAAAGAUGAGAUUCAUUAUGGCAUGAUCAAAUUAUAGAGUUAGAGAUUUAGAACUUGUUUGAUUGUGAUUUUAGAAAGGUUAAAAAUCCUUUCUGGAAUUUUUAGUGGUACAUCUUCAUAACCACUUUUACUAAUAUGAUAGCGGGUGCACCUGAUUUGAUAUUCGGGGCAUGUUCUUAGAAUGGGUUUCUCUGUUCUAUUUCUUGAUAGUGAAGCCGAUGUUACGUGUGAGGAGACUUUGAUUAAUUUAAUUUAUUUUUAAGAUUAAGGUGGUGUUUGUUUUUUUACUUAAUUCUAAAUAGAAUCUUAAUACUUAAUAGUAUUAAAUAUUAGGUUGUUUGUUUUUGUAGUAUUUUAUUUCUAUUAAGUAUUAAAAAGUAAAAAAACCAUUAUGUUUUUUUUUCUAUUUAGAAAAAGUCACAUAUUUUGGCUUUUUCUAUUUAGUAAAAAGUUUAUAAUAAAUCAUGAAAAAGUAAAAAAACAAACAACCUAAAUUCUAAAACUAAAUGGUUUUCAGCAAAAAGCCAAAAAAACAAACACCACCUAAGUCUAGUUAUGAUACUGGAAAAACAUCAGCAUUCAAAUGAUAUCAUUUACAUAUUUUUAAGUCGUCUUAUUUGUUUGUACCACAUUUAAUGGUUUAAACCUCACUGCACAUUGAACAGUUUGAAUUCCUUCUUGUGUGGAUAGCAUUAUGGUAUCAUAGCAUUUUCCUCGAGAUUAGUUUGGGGUUAUUUUCAAUGGCUUUAUGGGAGUGGGCACAUGUCAUCUUAAAAAACUUUGACAUUAUUAUUGAAUAAUUAACAUGAGAUUUACUACUUUGAAGUUUGAACCAACUUUGCCACUCUCCUAGAAUUCCUUCCUCUCAUAUUGCCACUCUCUCCAACUUUGUCUUGUUUGUCUGCUUCUACCCUCCCUCAAACUCAUUACUCAUGUGGGUAAAUAUGUACGUUUUUUUUUUUUUUUAAAAUUAUGAGUAGGAUAUAAAAAAUAUAUAUAUAUAAAUAAGGGCAUAAAAAAUGACUGUCUUAUAGAAAAUAUAUUAAGGUAUUAAUAUAUAAUAAAAUUAUUUUUUUUCUUCUCAAUGGUUGAUGUUUUUCUGAUUUAUUUAAAUUAGAAAAUUAUUUUAGUAAUAAUAAAAUAUAAAUACUAACAAAAUGCAUCAUCUAAGUCCUUUCAUUUGAAUAAUUAUAUUUCCCUGUAUUUGAAUUAAAAUAAUACUAACAAAAUCCACGUCAACUUUUAUAAAUUAUUUUCAAAAAAAUAUGUUUAUAAAAAUAAAUUUAUACAUGAAUAGAUUGUUUCAAUUAUCUUCAUCACCUAAAUCUCUAAAAACUUCUCAAAAUAAUCUUAAUAAUUGACAACCAUCUACAUGAAAUGAAUAAAAGAACAUGAUAUUUUCCCUUCAUGGUUUUAUAUUCGCGUAAAGUAAAUAAAAGAAGAUCAACAAAACUAACAAAACUGUUUAUCUGGGGAAGAUGAAGCUGCAAGACUGAGCCAAUAAGAGCCUUUCAAUGCAAUAAAAUCAUGGUAAGAAUGGCCUCAAUUGUUUGAUUCCACCAUCAAUAAACCUCAUUAAACCAUACAUACACCACUCAUUCCAAGCUUAAUGACUUAACAUGAAUCACAUUGGAGGACGGUACCUAAUACCAAUCACAGAUUAUUCAGUAACUAGACAGGCAUUCAACGCCACUGUGUAUAAGUAUAUGGCCUCCAAUCUCCCUGUACUUUGAAUCCGUAGACUUUUUUUUAUCAUAUACCAAAAUGAUCCAAAGGGGGAAAAAGGAAGAAUUCCCACUUAUCCUUCAGGCUAUAACUAUGGAAAAGAGAAUGAUAUAAAUGCAACGGUAGAAUUAUCUGGGGAGAAGUUUACAACCCAAUCAGGGACUGCCUCAGUGCCUCCAGAAGUAACCCAGAUCCAUUUACUCAACCCAGGACCCGUGAAGAAAAUAAGUUACAGGACUAAAUUCAGCUCAACAGGGAGCAGCUUGUCAUUACAAUCCAAUGCAGCUGGAUGUCAAGUUGGUGCAUGGAAAGCCAUACAUUUCAAGGAGAAGAGGCUGCGACGAAUGAGCACACAGAGCAAAGGCUUCACCGCCGGAAUGCAUUGCCUUCUCCCACUUCUGACCUGCCCUGCAAAUAAUGUGUGCGGCGACGAACGCUUUCCUCUAUUGUCGAGCUUCCUCCCUUCUCAGCACCAUACACACUCUUGUGAGUAGCAUCUAAGAAAUCCCUUCCCUGGGAUAUGCCUGCUUGAGUAGCCUCUUGUGCAUCAUUUUCCUCAGCCUUCCUCAGGCGUUUCCGUCUCUGCUCUUCAUGCAGCUCAACAUCCAUUUGCAUCUCUCGCAACCUCGCAGCUCUCUCUUCUUCAGAAAGUUUUGGAGCAGUGUUUCGGCGCCUAUAGUGUGAUUCAUGGCGAUUAGCAGGAGAAUCAGAAUGACUUGCUUGAGAAAAUUUUUUGCUCCCUGUCUCCUCCCUAGAAGCAACAUUAUUUUUCCUUUCUCCUGAAGAAUAUUUAUCAUGCUUCGACUUCUCCCUAUUCUUGAUUCUUUCCAGAUUGUCAUUUUCUCCAGAUUUCAGGUCAGACAGGCCACUGGAUGUUUGCUCUUUGUAUUUCAGGUCCUUGUGGUGUCUCUUGUCUCUUGGUUUCUCCCUGUCACCUGAUUCAUCAUCCAAAUCCUGCUGUGUUUUAUCAUAAUUUGACCUCUCCUUGUGCUUGAGGUCCUGGUGCUGUCUCUUGUCUCUUGGUCUCUCCCUGUCACCUGAUUCAUUGUCCAAGUCUUGCUGUGUUUUAUCAUAAUUUGACCUCUCCUUGUGCUUCAGGUCCUGGUGCUGUCUCUUGUCUCUUGGUCUCUCCCUGUCACCUGAUUCAUCGUCCCAAUCUUGCUGUGUUUUAUCAUAAUUUGACCUCUCCUUGUGCUUCAGGUCCUGGUGCUGUCUCUUGUCUCUUGGUCUCUCCCUGUCACCUGAUUCAUCGUCCGAAUCUUGCUGUGUUUUAUCAUAAUUUGACCUCUCCUUGUGCUUCAGGUCCUUGUGGUGUCUCUUGUCUCUUGGUCUCUCCCUGUCACCUGAUUCAUCAUCCAAAUCUUGCUGCGUUUUAUCAUAAUUUGACCUCUCCUUGUGCUUCAGGUCCUUGUGGUGUCUCUUGUCUCUUGGUCUCUCCCUGUCACCUGAUUCAUUGUCCAAAUCUUGCUGUGUUUUAUCAUAAUUUGACCUCUCCUUGUGAUUCAGUUCCUUGUGGUGUUUCUUCCUUUUUAAUCUUCCCCUUUCACCUGAUUCAUCUUCUGAAUCUGUUGGUGCUUUUUCCUCAUAAUUUGACCUCUUAUGGCUACCAUCCUUUCUUCUUUCUUCUUCAGGAGUGACAUUUUCAGAUUGGUGUCUCGAUGAAGAAUGCGUGUGAUGCUUUGAACUCUUGUGAUGAAGUUUCUUUUCCUCUUUUCUAUCGUGUUUCUUCUCCUUGGGCUUUUUCUCUUCCACCUACCAAAAAAUCAACAAGGACAGCAGCAUGAUCAGCAAAAGCUUUGGUGCAGAAUCAUUGUAAAGAAUUUUGGUGUACAAUGUAGUUAAACAAAAUGCCAUAGAUAACAUAAUUUUGUUGAUUUCUUUCAAUAGAACUCAUAUCUUCAUCAUAUAUCAAUGUUCCAUAGAAUUUUUUUGGGGGAGAUGUCAUGUGGCUUCCAACCUAAUCACGCAAUCUCAGUUUUUAACUUGAUUCAUAAUCUCCUAUUUUUCAUCCUUGGUGUCAUUAGGCACGUUGGCCCCACAAAUCUGUCUAAACAGACAAGUUCAAGGUUGUUUAGUCAUUUUUAAUAGCUUGCUAUUUUCACUCUAGGGAAAUAAAAAUAUUCUAAGAAUUCUAUGGACAUUCAGAGGGUGUUUGGUGAUUUACUUAAUGACUUAAAGUGACUUAAUAACUUAAUUUCAAUUAUUAAGUAGAUUAAACAUGUUUGGUAAAACAGCUUAAUAUCACAACUUGAAAUUAAAAAUGACUUUACGUAUCAAGUCAAAAUAAUUAACUAAUUAUUAAUCUUAAAUCUUUUUUGUUUCAUUUACCCAUAUGUAAGGAGAGUAUAUUUAACAACCAUGACUCCACAUUUCUGAGUCAUUUUUUAUAAUAAAUAUUUUAAGGUUAUUUUAUAUAUCUACAAUACUUUAAAUAUAGAUAUUUAAUAAACAAAUUUAUUGCUUAAGAUCAAUAAAAAUAUAUAUUAGUUAAAAUUAAUGAUGAUAAAUAUCAAUUACAACUAAUGAGGGUAAAUGUGAAUUUGAUAACUUAAAAUAAAUUUUAAGUUAAUUUGAUCAAACAACUUAAACACUUAAAGUAAAAUAUAAUUAAUAGGUUCUAAUUUAACAACUUAAGAGCAAUUUCACUUAAAGUCAACUUAAGUCAUUAAGUAACAAACAUUAAGUUUUACCAAACGCCCACUCAAACUUGUACUUAUUUACACUAGUAUGCACUCUUCAAUAAAGUUUUUGUUCAUAAAAGAUAAUUACUUGUGAAAAAACAAUUACCAUACCAUCACAACUCCUGCCACUAAUAUUUAGCUUAUAAAUGGGAUAAACUUACAGAUUUGCGGAUCAUGGCCAUCUGAACUGGAUUGUUCUUAAUGUGUGCCAGGGCUUCUUGUUCUCGCUGUCGAAUCAUAAGCAAAGGAUCAGAAUGAAGUUUCCUCCAUGUAUCAUUGGCAGAUUGAGGUUUCUCCUCAAAUAAAGCUCCUGGCACGGAUGGUUGCUGCUGCUAAGACAUACCACAAAUUCAAAAUUCAAAAAACAGCUCUUGAAUAAAUCAUGUGCCUUUUAUUCAUCAAUCAAAAGGCUAAAGCACUGGCAAAUAACCGAACUUCAAAUUACCUUGGCAGAAGAAGAGGAGGCUACAUCGUUGCUGGGCAGGGCUUCCAGUGCUUUGAAUCCAUCAGAGCUGCCCUUUCCUACUGCUAAUCCAGAAUCAUAAAGAAAUUCCAAUCUCUCUUGCUUGCUGAAAAAUAAAGUAGUUAAAAAAGAAUUAAUUUCAUAAAUUAUUCAAAACACUUAAACAUCAUAAAUCCUAAUAUGCAAAACGAAACAAGAAACUAGAUUGAUUUCAUAAAUUUAACCCUAAGUUUAAAAUCAACAAAUUAUAUUAAAAAAAAAAAAAAGAAUAAUGUAAUGACAAAAUGGAACAUUUUCAUAGAUCCUACUGGAAUGCUGCAAACCCUAACCUUAACCAUAGCCAUAAAAUCGACAAAUCGUAAUCCAUUUCAUAAAGAAUUAAUUAGUCAAACCCAAACUUUCAUAAAUUCGUUAAACCAGAGAUAUUAUAAACCCUAACUAUAGGCCUAACCCGAAGCUUAAAACCAACCAUUUAUAAUGAAAAAAAUGGGUUAAUUCCAUAGAUCCUUCCAAACCAAAAUAUUGUGAACCCUAACCCUAACCAUAAAAUCAGCAAAUUAUUAUCCAUUUAAUAAAUCAUUCAAACCAGAAUUAUUGUAAACCUACCCCCUAACCCUAACUCUAACAUCAGAAAAUUAUAAUCCAAUAAAAAAAUUCUGCAAAGCCGAGAUAUUGUAUCAGAAACCCUAAUCCUAAUAUGAAGAAAGUAUGACAAAAAACAGCGAGAGUAACAUACGGAACGAGGCCAGCUUGUUCCUGGAGGAGCCGAUAUUCUGAGCGCUCCCUCUCCUCCAGAAUCUGUUUGCGGAGCUCUUCCAAUUUCUUCUGCUCAGCGUCAUGCUUCUGCUCAGCCUUCCACACGUUCUCUAUGUUCCGAAGACUCCCCGUGUGCCAUCCCUUCUUGUUCAAAAACUUCAACGCCAUAGAUCUUCAAUUUCAAUUCCAAUUCCAGAUUUUUCAGAGGUUUAGAUCUGCAAAUUCUGCUGCUUUUAUUUUCACUUCUUUCCUUUUUUCUUCCGGAGGUUCGCCCAUUUCGUUGUAAUCUUAUAUUUGCAAUCAUUUAUUUAUUAUUAUUAUUAUUAUUAUUUAAAAAAAAAAAAAAAAAAAACACUCUAGAGGUAGGGUCAAAUAGCACGUGCCUCUUAUACUGAAUUUAUCUGAUAUUUGAUUGUUGCAAAGUGUAUCGAGAAAGAGCUUGAUCAUGGAAGGUUUCUCGAUCAUCAAUAAAAAUAAAAAUGUUGUAUUUAGAUAUAUUUUUUAUUUUUAAAAAUAUAAAUUUUUAUUUUUUGUUUUAAAAAAUAUAAAUUUAUAUAUAAAAAUUAAAAACUUUUAUAUAAAAUGUAUUUUUAAACAUAUCAUAAUAAAAAAUUUUAAUACCUUAAUUAUUAUUAUUUUUUUUGUCAAUUUUCAAAAAUCAUUAAUUUUUAAUAUAAGUCUAUAAAGUUCCUUAUAAAAAUUACUAUUAUUUCUAUUUUUAAAAUUAAAAGGACACUUUUUCUUAAUACCCUAGUUUAAAAAAUAAAAAAUGCUACUACAUGUACAACAAAAAAUGAUAAAUAAUAUUUAGUAGGAAUAUUGUAUUAAAAAUAUUUCAUAUUUUUAAAUACAAUUAUUAUAUUGUCAUUAAUUGCAAAAAUGUCAACAAAUGUUAUAAAUUUGUAAAUUUUGAUAUUCUCGAUGGAAUCAUUCCAUGCUAUGGAUUUUUUUUUUAAAAAAAGCAUUAUUAAAACACAAUUGUUUAAAAAAUAAAUACAAAAAUACCACACUUUUUAUCAUUUUUUUUUAUUUUUACACUAAACUAUGUCUUUUUAAAAGACAAUUUCCUUUUUUAUCUUAAUACUUUUUAUAUUAAACUUCUCUUUCCAAAAUACAAAUUCAUUUUUUUUACAGGUAACUCACAUUUUCAAUAUACGAAAUCUACUCGAAAUUAAAAUGUAUCGUAAAUACAUAUAUAUAUAUAUAUAUAUAUAUAUAUAUAUAUAUCGCCCAUGAAAUCGUGACAAAUCCACAACGGUUUGGUAACACCAUUUACUUGUGUACCAAUUCCGUCUUCCACUCUUGCAUGAAAAUAUUAGGUAUUGAAUGUCAUUUUGUUCAUUUUCAAUUCAAGUUUCUCAUAUAUUCACUAAGAAUCAAUUGAUGAUAUUUUAUAUUAGCCUCUUGGGAAGGAGUUUUCUUGCUUUUACAUAGGGGGUGCAAUUUGGAUGGGUUAAUCGAGUUGAUGGCUAAUCCAAGUCCAACAUGAAUUAAAAAGCAAUUAAUCUAUGUUCAAUCCAACCCGAUCUCUAUCUCAAGGUACUCAAUUUAAAUUCAACUAACUUCAUUUUUCUAAACCUAAGUUGAGUUCAGGUUAUUCAAGUUUGAUUCGAGUUAAAUUUGGGUUAAUCAGAUUGUAUAAUUCAAAAUUUAUUUAUGAUAUUGUAGACCCCUUUUAUGGGGGGCCCGGGGGGAGAGUUUUUCUCUCUUUGGGCAUUUCUUUUUUAAACAAGGGGGGACCCUUUUCUCUAGGGAAUGUUGAGGCCUCGCGUCCCUGGUGAUCCACGUAAUUGCCAAAUGGAUGGACGCAUGAUCUUAACCAAUAUAGAUUCCUGGUUUAGUCGUUCCUGCAAAAGGCGUCCGGACAAGGUGUUCGGACACACCCUCCGAUGGUUUUGUCAGCCAUGGUUAGAGAGAUAAAUCAGUUGACCUUUUACUAGGUAUAGCAAGCUUACCUUCCUCCUUGUAUGAAGGUCUAUAUAUAUAGUGUUAGGAACUUUGUUUCCCUCUUUAAUGGUAGGGAGAUAUUUUGGCUUCGUCAUGAUGCCUCUAGGUGGUGGCAAGGUCAUCAUCACCCUACGGGCGGCUGACAGAGAUCGUGGGAGGCGCCGCAACUGUCAGAGGUCGUGGGAAGUGACUUGCCGUCACUUCAUUCCUGUCUUUUCACUCUGCAGGUGGCGGAACGUGGGCCGUGGCAGGUUGUUGGAAUGAUGUGCAAGACUUGCUUACUUCAGUCAACAAUCCGGACAAAACAUAUCCGGAUAGGAUAUGUCGGUCGUCCGGAUGUGAUAUGACGGUCGUCCGGAUGUGAUGUUUGCGAGUGUAGUGUGCCUCUCCCUGAGGGAGUCCGGAUAGGAGAAGCGCGCCACGUGCACUCUUGGGGGAAUCCGGAUGGGGGUAAUCCGGAUAGAAACGUGUGCCACGUGUCAUUAGGAAAUGUGUGCCAUGUGUCAUCAGGGGGAGGGGUCCCUACAGGGAAGACCGGGCUGCAAAGAGGAAAAGGAGUAGGGAUGACCAUAAUUUCAGGAGCCAUGCCUGCUGAUGAGGACACAGGAGAGUGGGUGAGAGGGACAGAAGGCUUUUGAGGUCAGGAGGAGAGGGAGGGAGGAGGAGAAAAAGGCGCUCUGGAGGUGGCAGACGAGCAGGAGGAGGGAAAGCCGAACCACAUUCAGCUAGAAAGCUCAGGUAUGGCCAUCUCCUCAAUUCUGAUCUUUAUUUUUCGCUAUUUUUGCUCAGUGCUGUGAAUCUAUUUUUCUCUGUUAUUGGGCUUGUUGAUUAUUGCUUUGGCACCAUUCUUUCCGAACCCCAUGCGCGACCACCCUCUGUAACUCUCCACUCUUUCAUCCUCACUACCCAUCAGAAACACCACCCUCCCAUUUCCAUCAUCUCUUUCACGUGCAUGGAGUCUCAUGCAUGGCUACCCAANNNNNNNNNNNNNNNNNNNNNNNNNNNNNNNNNNNNNNNNNNNNNNNNNNNNNNNNNNNNNNNNNNNNNNNNNNNNNNNNNNNNNNNNNNNNNNNNNNNNAAAGUCCAGCCCUACUUGAACUCCUCCGCCUCCAUUACCAACAGCAGGCUGAGCCUCACCUGGGCCUUGAAUCCCUCCGUCAUCCACCACCGUCGACGAGGAAGAAGAAACCCGGCUAGGCUUCGCCGGGCCUUGUUUGCGGCGUCGCCGGCCCUGCGUCAGGCGUGACGCAGCCCCGGUCAUCUGCACCGGCCAGCACCAUGUCCGACCAAGCUGAGAGUUCAGCCAUUGACACCGCCCGCUCGUCGCGAUGAGUGAGAGUCACCAUCCUCGCCGUCGUCUUCACCGGCAGCAUGCACUUCAAGGCCUUGGAGGGCCUCGCGACCGCCUCCAUUCAGUAGCCGCCUUCGUCCCGCCGACAGCGAGGGGUUCCGUCCGAGGGUAUUGCCCAGGCGGUGGAGUGGAGGGUGAAAAUUUUGGUCCCUUGGGCUUGCCCAUAUUGGCCUUGAACUUGGGCUUAAGUUGGUGCCUUGGGCUUGCCCAUAUUGGUGACAGGUUUGGGCUUGAGUUGGAGCCCAGGCCCAUAGUUGCUGAUGAAAGGCCCCUUUGCUCCCUAUUCUAGCCAUCUCCAUGGCCCAAGUCCAUGUUGGGUUAGCCCAUUUGGCUACAUUAUGUCUAAACAAGUUUUUUUAAUCUCUAACCUUAGUAAAUUAUUAACUUAUUCAUGUUUUUAUUUAUUUAUUAUUUAUUCUUAUUUUUACCUUAUUUUAUCUUCACCAAUUUAGUUAGCUCAACUUAAAGACAAUUAAAAGAUAAAUUAUUAUUCUUAAUUAUAUUUUUAUCUUGAAAUUUACACUAUUCAAUUUCACUAGUUUAAACAUUAUGAUUGUCAACUAUUAUUAUUAUUUCGUACGUAUCUAUUUAUCAUCUUUCAAAAUCUCACUCAUCAAAGUUAAAUUCUAAUCCUUCAAAAACCCCAUAUCUUAAUCUAAUAUUUCAAUAAUCCGUUUAAAUCUCGUUUUCAUCAAUUAAGAAUUAUUAUCAUAUAUUUAUCUAGUUAUUUGAAGUCUUACCCUUUCAAAAAUCUCAUGUCUUAAUUCAAUUUUUCAACAGUCCGUUCAAACCUUAUUCGUCUAAAUGUUAUUUUCGUUAAUUAGUAUUAUUAUCCUAUAUAAGUUUAUUUAUUUAAAAUCCAAUCCUUCAAAGAUCCAAUGCCCUAAUUUCAUUUUCCAAGCCCUGAAAAUUCCACUAUUCGUCUAAAUGUCAUUUUCGUUAAUUAGGAAUUAUUGUCUCAUAUUUAUUUAUUCAAAGUCUAAUCCUUCAGAAAUCCAAUGUCAUAAUUUAAUUUUUCAAUCCUAAAAAUUCCACUAUUUGUCUAAAUGUUGUUUUCGUCAAUUAGAAACUCGAUACUUGUUUACCUCUUUUAAAAAUCUCAAUCAUUGAACUUAAUUCUCGACCCUAAAAAUCCCACUAUCCUUUUUUAUUCGUUUAAACGUUGUUUUCGUUAAUUAUUAUUAUUACCCUAUAUUAGUUUAUUUAUUUAAAAUCUAAUUCUUCAAAAACCUCAUGUCUUAAUUUAAUUUUUCAAUCCUAAAAAUUCUACAAUUCGUUUAAAUGUUAUCCUCAUAAAUUAGAAUCAUUAUCCCAUAUCUAUUUAAAACCCAAUCUUUCAAAAACCCCAUAUCCUAAUUUAACUUUCAAUCCCAGAAAUUCCAUUAUCCGCCUAAAUGUUAUUUUCAGUAGUUAGAAUUCUUAUCCCCUAUCUAUUUAUUUACUUAAGGUCCAACUCUUCAAAAAUUCAACGUCCUAAUUUAAUUUUUAAUCCUAAAAAUUCCACUACUCAUUUUCUAUCCGUUUAAAAUAUUGUUUCCGUUAAGUAGUAUCAUUAUUCCAUAUUAUCUAUUUAAUCUAAUCGUUAAAGUUCAAUUCAUCAGAACCCGACUUCCAAAUCUAAUUUCCAACCUCAAAAGCUCCACCGCCCACAUAUCGCCGUUUAAUGAUUAUUCUCGUUAUCAAUGUUAUCCCAUCUACUCACUUAUUCAGUUAUUCAUAUAUCAAAGAUCUCAUCUCUAAAUAAAUUCUCAAGUUCUCAAUCUCUAAAUUCACAUCUUCAAAUCUCUAAAAUUCCAUCUUUCGCAAUUAUUUACCUAAACUUUAUUACUUCACCUUCGUUAUUAUUCCAUCCCUUUACUUAUUCACUCAUCCACUUAUCCCCCCAUUUAAAAUCCCGAACUCUCAAACCAUUUUCAAAGUUUCCAACCUCGUUCAAAUUUAAUUUCUAAAAAUUCUCAUUCCCGCAUUUAAUUCCUGAAAGUCCGAUCUUCAAAUAAACUCUAAAAUCCCAAUUUUCUUUAAAUAACCUUCGAGACUCCAAUUUUUCAAAUGAAUUUCAAAAAUCCGAUUUUCUCUCAAAUAGCUUUAAUUCCAUUUUGGUCUUCAAACAAUCUUCUGCUCCUCUUGAUUUUAAUAAGCAGGAAAGAGUUUUCCGUAAUUCCGAAUAAUGGAAUUUAUGGGAUUAAUUCAUGCAAUAUAAAUCGGGCUCUGGUGAGGGCCCAACAUAUGUGAUUUCCUUAUGAUUGAUUGAUUGUUUGUCUGAUUUAAUUGCUAUGCAUGAUUGAUUUUAUUCUGCUCUAUGACAUGCUCGAAAUUAUUCCUUAAUUGUGCACUAACCUCACUUUUUGAUAGCGCUUUAUGGAUCACUGCCCAGGUACGCAUCCACAUCUACUCGGGUCAUUUUCUGUAUGCAUGUUUAGAUUCUCACAUGUGCAUGAUCACUCUGAGUAUUCAUUGAUUCCCUCAUCAAUUGCCAUGAUUGCUUCAUGUUAUUAGUAGAGACCCAACUUUAGGGACUUAGAAGGGUGAUAUGGUCUUUACCGUACCUUUCUGAUAAGUAACCUGACCCCUGAACCCGAUCCGGUUUUUCGUAGACCACCUUUUCCAAAUAAGGAGUCACACUUAGGGUUUUUAUUUCUUAUUUUGUUUACCCUUUUAAAAAUAAAACAAAAAUAAGUGGCGACUUGAUCGCUCGGAUUUUGUCGUUUAUUGGAUCAAAACAAAAUUUAUAACCUAAUUCACUAUUUUAUAGCAAUUUGUACCCGAUCAAAAAGUGGUUUUAGUACAAACUACUGUAGUAUAGUGGUUUUUAGGUAUCGUCCACAAGGAUGGAUUAUUCUUGGUAAUUAAGGCUUGAAUGAGAUGAUAAGAAAUGAUUGUGAUCAAAUGAAAUUGAUUUGAAAAUGCAUGAUAAAAUUCCAAAAUAACAAUGUAUUCAAAUUGAGAGGAAAAUGAAGUGUAAAAGAGAAGAAAAUUAAUAAGAGGUGAGAUUCUCGGAGUUAGGAUUUUC